AUUAAGCACCUUCAAUGAUUCCAUAUUAUGCAACUCCCUAGGAACAUCAUCAAGUCUUGAACAACCAGAUAAGAUAAGCUCUUCAAGUGAUAUUAAUGAACCAAUUGUCCUUGGAAGUUUCCUAAGACUUGUGCAAUCUUUAAGGUUCAAGAAAGUAAGCAUCUUUAGCUCACCAAUGGAUUGAUCAACUUCCACCAAAUUUAUGCAAUCUUUGAGCAUCAACUUCUCAAGGCUAGGGAGUCCUGAAAAGGUUGGGGUUUUAAGAAGGCUAUGUGAAUGGUUGAGAUUAAGGAUCUUUAAAUUUGGGAGACACUGCAAAAAAAGAAAAACCCUUCUGUUAUAAAUGUAUUAUUGUUUCACACACACACAAAGAAGAAGGGAAAAGUAGUAUACAUCAUACCUCUGUAUCCUUCCAAACUUGUUUAAGUUUACUGUUGCGCAUGUCGAGAACAACUAGUUCAUUGAUAUCAAAAUCCACCGGAAAAGAUUGCAUCCAAAACCCAUGCCAACGUAACCAUCUUAAUCUUUUGGGGAAGUCUUUGAAGUCUCCUUUAAGUCUUACAUAAUCCAGUUGAAGCAGUUUAAGUCUCUUCAUCUUUGCAAAUGCUUGAGUUUCCAUAUCAACAUCAUUUGCCAUCAGAAACUGACUUUUGGAAUGCUUUGGAAAAUGUAGAGUUGUAUUUGUCCUUUUAGCCUUGUCUNNNNNNNNNNNNNNNNNNNNNNNNNNNNNNNNNNNNNNNNNNNNNNNNNNNNNNNNNNNNNNNNNNNNNNNNNNNNNNNNNNNNNNNNNNNNNNNNNNNNAGGCACUUAACUGUUCUGGAACCCUGCAUCAGAAAAACUUUUUUAAAAAAUAAAAAGAAAUUUGAUAAAAAAAGUAGUUUACAUGCACACAAGAAAAAAGUUGAGUAAAAUGAUGUUUCUUACAAUUUUUUCUCUUAUUACAUCAAACGCGUUCUUAUGCCACAAUCUGCUUCGUUUCCCAAUAUCAGAAGAUUCUUGACGAAUAAUUUCUCGUCCCAUAUCUCUAAUCAUUUGGUGCAUCAUUAGCUUAUUUUUUUCAUUAAUGAUUAAGAGAGACCUACCUACUAGAUUUUCAAUUCCAAUUGUUGUAUAAUAAUCACAACCAUCUAAAAUUGUAGUCAUGUAAUCUCUAUCCUUCCCAAUGAAUAAACAAACUAUGUCAAGGAAAAAAUUUUUGUCAUGAUCGUCUUCCAAAGAAUCAUAGCUUAUUCUUAGAAUCUCUUGAAUUUUGCUGUCAGGGAUUUCUUCCAAUUUCUCCAAUGCACUUUUCCAAGAACUCACACUUUUGCUAGAUAAUGAAGAGCCCAAAACUUGAAGAGCUAACGGAAGCCCACCACAGUGUUUCACUAAACUUCUUGCAUAUGCCAUCGAACUUUCAGGCACAGAGUUAUGACCAAAAGCAUACCAAUUAAAAAGUUGUAGCGAUUCACUUGAAGCUAAUUCUUUUACUUCAAAUAGCUUGCUUAAGCCUCCACAGCUAGUUGAUGCUUCCAAAUCAAACAUUUGGCUUAUAAAAUGUGCAUUCAAUAGGCAUCGGUUUCUACUAGUUAUGAUGAUUUUACUUCCCGGAUGAAAAGGAAUUUCGAGUUCCCAUUAAUUUUCUUAUUNNNNNNNNNNNNNNNNNNNNNNNNNNNNNNNNNNNNNNNNNNNNNNNNNNNNNNNNNNNNNNNNNNNNNNNNNNNNNNNNNNNNNNNNNNNNNNNNNNNNNNNNNNNNNNNNNNNNNNNNNNNNNNNNNNNNNNNNNNNNNNNNNNNACUAAACCAUUGCAAUCUUGACUUGUUUCUCUAACAUCAGCAAGGAAACUAUAACUUUCAAACCUCGGGAUGUUUUGAUUGUAAACAACUUUGGCAAUGGUUGUCUUCCCAAUGCCUCCAAUGCCACAAAUAGUUGCAAUGCCAACUUUAUUUGCUCCAUCUUGUUCUAACCAUUGAUUAAUUUGUGUCACGAGAGAAUCUAUUCCAACUAAAUAAGGAGGGACAUAUAAAGAAAUAAGAUGAAGCUUAUUUUGAACUUCUUUAACAAUAUCUUGAAUGAAUUGUGAUUCAUGCCUGCAAAUUUAAAAAAUACAACUCGAUGGUAAAAUCUUGGAAAGUGAGUAAAAGUUAUUAAUGUAUUUUCUCUUUUUUUGCAUAUAUUUUGAUUGUUUUUAUGAGAUUAUAUGUUCAAAUAAAAAUAAGAAACUAAUGCAACAUUUUAACAUAUAUGAUAGAAUUAUUACAUUCAAAAUCAAAUCAAAUCAAAUAAAGAACAUAAAAAUUAAUGAAAUUCAUUUGAAACAACCUAUACUCAAAAUUUCAACUUUCUCUUUGUGAAAGUUUAAUAAAUUCAUGUUAUUUACAUGAAUUUAUAUAUUUAUUUUUUAUUCAUUUUAAUAUUUUGAAUAUGUGUAGACCUAUUACACGAAUAAUUUGGAUAUGAUUGUUGGAAAUAUACUACUGCAAAAUAGAAUUGUUACAGGAGACCAAACUGAAUGUAAAUAAAAUAAGAAUCACUCUGUCGUAGAAGAACCAUUGCAUUAGAGGCAAAAUGGCCCUGAUCGGUGUAAUCUCGCUUAAAACCUAAUCUCUUAGACAGAAUUUCCCUCUCGUAUAAUUUUGCAGAACACUAGAAUUUAGAGAACAUAGAGAAGUUGCUUUUCUCUUGUUGUGUUCUGUGAAAAAUGAGGAGAAUGACCUCCUAUUUAUACAGUUUUUUGAAGGGCAAAAUGGUAAAAUAAUCGUUUUAGUUUCCAAAAAUAGUAGAGGAUUUCCCUAACUGAAAAUAUUCUGAAAUAUAUUUUCUGCAACAGUGAGAGUAUUUUCCACAAUUGAAAAUAUUCUUUUGCAUUACCAACAAUGACAUCUUAACCACAAAUAGUGUCAUUAAUUUCAAGAGGCUACUUCUUUUUGUUUUCAACUCGUCAAAUCUAAGUUGCUCAUGUGAUAGGUGCAUACGUAUUUAAAAUUUGAUUUAUGUGUUUUAAAAACAUUCCACAUCAGAUUCGAGCUAACAUUUAAUGCUUAAACUGAUGACUUGUUUGAUAGACAGACCUUAUUGAUACAAUACUAAUACUUUAAUGACCCAAUUAAAACAUGUUAAUUUUUGAGAAAUAAUUUAAAACUUGAGUUAUAAUUAACCCUUUAAAAUGGAUUGAAGUAACCAUUUUAAUUUCCAAACGCUACCUAACAAUAUUUUCUAUUAAUUUUCUUUCUACUCUAUCAAGUCUUAAUGAAAAGGNNNNNNNNNNNNNNNNNNNNNNNNNNNNNNNNNNNNNNNNNNNNNNNNNNNNNNNNNNNNNNNNNNNNNNNNNNNNNNNNNNNNNNNNNNNNNNNNNNNNNNNNNNNNNNNNNNNNNNNNNNNNNNNNNNNNNNNNNNNNNNNNNNNNNNNNNNNNNNNNNNNNNNNNNNNNNNNNNNNNNNNNNNNNNNNNNNNNNNNNNNNNNNNNNNNNNNNNNNNNNNNNNNNNNNNNNNNNNNNNNNNNNNNNNNNNNNNNNNNNNNNNNNNNNNNNNNNNNNNNNNNNNNNNNNNNNNNNNNNNNNNNNNNNNNNNNNNNNNNNNNNNNNNNNNNNNNNNNNNNNNNNNNNNNNNNNNNNNNNNNNNNNNNNNNNNNNNNNNNNNNNNNNNNNNNNNNNNNNNNNNNNNNNNNNNNNNNNNNNNNNNNNNNNNNNNNNNNNNNNNNNNNNNNNNNCACCUCUAAAACUCAAGAAUACAUGAUAACUACAUCGCGAGAUUUCUGACAUUGCCAUUGAAGAAGAAAAUGAAGUCGUCCUGUGUUUAAUAACAAGGUUCCAGCAUAUCCAGCAUAUAUAUAUAUAUAUGAAUGGCAAAGCAGAUAUUAUUAGCAGUCAAGUGGCAGUUCCCAAUCCAUGGUGGGUCAAUCCUUCGACCAGUUCAUACAACUGCCCGAAGACAUUCAAGUCGGCCAUGUUGUGUUUUUCCAAAUCUACCAACUUGGGUUACGUAUUCUAUAUUAUUAAUUUUGCUUGACAAAUACAAUGUAUUGAUUAACUUGAUGGUUAUAGCUAACACAACACGUAUAUAGACAUCAUCUUCAGGCUAAUAUUAGUAAAAAUAUUAUGAAGGUUCUUGUAUUUUAAGUCAUAUUAUAUUUUGUUUUCUCUACUUAAAAAAUAUUAAAUUAAUUUUUGUAUAUUAUAUUAAAAAGUAAAUUAGUUCAUUUGUUAAAAAAAUUAUCUAUUGUUAUUGUUAAAAAUUGAUCUAUGUAAUCAACAUGAGGUAUAUGUGACACGCCACAUGCAACUAUCUGAUUAUUUCAUCAUUCAAUUUAGUUUUUAACAACAAAAAUGAAUGAAAUUUUUAAUAAAAAUGAUAAAUUUGUUCUUUUAUAUAAUGUAUAUGGACUAAUUUACUUGUUUUUAAAUAAAAUGGGUUAAGUACAAUUUGACUCUCAAUAGAAUGAUCUCCAUGAUACUUUUACCGGCUAAUACCUUGGUGGAUACACUCAAUAAUUAAACCACAACCACAUAUAUCACAUAGACAUCACAUUAAACAUUCAAGCUUGGUAUAGUAAAGAGACAAUUUUAGUAUCUAUGCAUGAAUGAAGAAUUAAUUAUUUUUGGAAAAGAAUUGGUGAUUAAAUUGAUCAGAUCAUCAAUUUUUUAUUUGAUUUGUUCGUGUUAUCUAAAAUAAAUAAAUUUUUAAAGACUAAAAAAAUAAUAAAAAUUCACUUAUAUUGCACAUUAAAGUAAAUUGAAAAUGUGGAAAUUUAGCGAGGGACAUAAGAGAAGAAGAAUAAUUCCGAAGUAUUUGGUGUGGAAAAUAUUGGUNNNNNNNNNNNNNNNNNNNNNNNNNNNNNNNNNNNNNNNNNNNNNNNNNNNNNNNNNNNNNNNNNNNNNNNNNNNNNNNNNNNNNNNNNNNNNNNNNNNNNNNNNNNNNNNNNNNNNNNNNNNNNNNNNNNNNNNNNNNNNNNNNNNNNNNNNNNNNNNNNNNNNNNNNNNNNNNNNNNNNNNNNNNNNNNNNNNNNNNNNNNNNNNNNNNNNNNNNNNNNNNNNNNNNNNNNNNNNNNNNNNNNNNNNNNNNNNNNNNNNNNNNNNNNNNNNNNNNNNNNNNNNNNNNNNNNNNNNNNNNNNNNNNNNNNNNNNNNNNNNNNNNNNNNNNNNNNNNNNNNNNNNNNNNNNNNNNNNNNNNNNNNNNNNNNNNNNNNNNNNNNNNNNNNNNNNNNNNNNNNNNNNNNNNNNNNNNNNNNNNNNNNNAUUACCAUUAGCAAUUAAAGAGGGGCUUCAACAAAAUUAUGGCCCCAACUGUUUCACCUAACAUAAUAAAUUCGUGGACUAACCAAUUUCAGUGCAAUAAAAGUAGUGAAGAGGAUGGGAUAAGGUUAAGGUUUACAUUGUUGGUAAUGCAAACUAGAAUCCCUCGUUACAGCCUUCAAAUUUUUUGGUUCACAAUAUUUUAGGAAGAACUAGAUUCAAAUAAUAUUUUUCCGUGAUUAUUUUUUCAAUAAUAUCAUCUUUAAAGUUUAGAUCUAUACUUUUUAAAAAAGUAUAAUAUGUCUUACCAUUAUGUCUAACACUCAAAUAAUAAUGUUAACAAAAAGGUUGAGCACCAAAUGGUUGAUAAGUACUAACAAGCUCAUGGUCUAAAGUAGAGGUGUCCAUGGGCCGGGCGGCCCGACCUUGCCCGACCGCCCGCCCAAAAUAUGGGAGGGUUCGGGUAAAAAUAUAGGCCCCAAAUAUGGGUUUGGGCAAACGAGGCCCGUUUAGAAAAUGGGCCGGGCCACGGGUAUCUCUUUUUGGCCUAGGCCCGUCUCGGCCUGAAUAUAAUAAAUAUAUUUUUUAUUUUUUUAUUUUAAAAUAUUUUUAAAAUACUUUUUUUAUUUUUUAUUUUUAAAAUAAAUUUUUUGUGUUUAUUAAAAAAGGGCCAGGGCGGGCUCGGGCUUAGAAUUUUUUUCCCAGCCCGGGCCUGGACAAAUUUUCAUGCCCAUAUUUUGGGUCGGGCCUGGCCCGGGCCUAGGAUGCAGCCCGAAUUUUUUUCUGGACUCGACCUGAACCCGGCCCGGUCCAUGGACACCUCUAGUCUAAAGUCUAGAUCGAGUAGCACUAUUAUCCAAAACAUAGUGAAACAGAUUAAUUCUUUCUUCGACGUUUGUUAUAUAGAACUCUACAACCUAGUGCUCCUAAUUAUCAAUUUUAUUCUUGUGACUCCAUAAUUAAAAUUUAGCUGAUCCCUUCAUUCAAGAGUGUAAUUAUUCGAAUAGGAUCAUGUCUCUUUUAUGGUGGAACACUAAUUCAUUUUAUUACUUGGACUUGUUCAUAAAAAUUCUCUUAAAAUAUCGAAUAAAUAUCAGUUAGGUGUUCUGAUGAUUUAAAUAUUUAGUUUUUAAGAGAAUAUAUUCUUACCUCGUUAUGCCUUCUCGAAGAUUUAUGUCAAAUUCAAACUGAUGUGAGUUGGCAGCUAUAUAUUUUUAUUUUUAAGGAUUUUAGUCCCUCUAUUUUUUGAGAUUUCUAAACUCAAAUCCAAUUGUUAACACUGUUAAUUUUUUUUGUUAAAUUUGAGUUAAUUACAAUAUCAUUUUUGUAAUUACAUGGUUAUCAAAUAGGUUUUUUUUUAUUUCAAAAUGCCACCCUAACACAUUUAACAAAAAAAAUUUAAAAUGUUAACCAUCAGAAAGUAAAGAGACUAAAUUUCUGGAAAUAAAAGUACGUGUUCUAAACUCCAAAAUUUUUAAAAGUACAAGAACUUAUGGCAUAUUUUAACCUUUUAACUUCUGGGUCGAGCUACUCAUCCAAUCCCCGCUUGAGAUUUGGGAAGAUUUAGACAAAAUUAUCAAGCUCAAAAAAUGGACUUGGACAAAAAGUUAGUCCGAUUUAAAAUACGAGUGGGGCUCGGGCAUAAAAAUUCAAGGCCCGAGCCAUUUACUAAUUUUCUAAUAUAUUAUAUUAUGUUAUUUUUAUAAAUUAUAUAAUUUAUUUCAAAAAAUAAAUCUAUAGUAAUACAUAUGAUAGUACUAUAAUGUAAACAUUAAAAAAUGUUAAGAUGUCUAUAUAAAAUGUUAAGAUAUUUGGGAAAAAAUUCAAUUCAAUCAGGCUCAAAACAAUUUGUGGGUCAAUUAAUUUAACAUCUCUAUUCAAAUCAACAAUGGCAAAACCUAAUAGAGGCCCAGGGGGCCAUGGCACCCCCAAGGAUUAAAUUUUUUGCAAUUUAGCCCUUUGUAGAUAUACUAUGGCCCUCCCAAACAUAUAAGUAGCCCCCCCCCCAAGGUUUAAGAUUUUUGCAAUUUAAUUUCCAAAUAUACUGCUUCUUUUGGAUUGAUUAUCAUGUUGGAAUAGUGCUUCUUUUGAGUCGAUUCUUUGUAUGUUUAAAUCGAUUGUCAAAUUAGAACACUACUUCUUUUGAAUCGAUUGUGUAUAUGAUUAAAUUGAUUGUUAUGUUGGAAUACUGCUUCUUUUUAAUUGAUUGUGUAUAUGAUUAAAUUGAUUGUUAUGUUGGAAUACUACUUCUCUUGAAUCGAUUGUUUAUAUGUUUAAAUCGAUUGUUACAUAACACAUCUAAUUAAUUUGUUCUUUGCUUCUUUGAUUGUUGCGUAGCAUUUCCUUUUAUUCUCUACUUCUUUGAUUGUUGGUUGUUUUAAAUAGCUUCUUUUCCUAAAAUGAUAAGGGACCAAAUGAAUAUCAGCAAAGAAUUUAUGUUGGAGUUUGAAUCGAUUCUUCGCUUAUUUCAAUUGAUUGUUUGUUGUUUUGAAUUAAUUCAUUAUUGUUUGAAUUGAUUCAAACUCCUACAUAAAUUCACUAUUGAUAUUCAUUUGGUCCCUUAUCAAUAUUAACUUACACAGAUGUGUGUAAGUUCUUUUUCCCUCAAACCUCCUGUUGAACGUGUGAAGCAAGCAAAGGUAUAUUUAUGGUUAUUCUUACUCUAGAAGAGAAAUGAUUCCUCAUACUUUAUACAGUGUAUUUACAUAUUUGCCCUCAACCGAAUAUUGAGGGAAUCUCCCUUCACUUUUGACACGUUCAAUAGAAAGUUUAAGGGAAAACAACUAAUUUACACCGGUGUAUAUAAGUAUUGAUAACUCUUUGAUACAAUAGAUUAAAUCGAAAAAUCAUUAUAUAGUAUUUUCCUAUACUAUGUGUUAUGUUUAUUAAUAAAACAUAUUUUUAAUUUAAAUGAUAUACUAAAAAUUGCUCAUCCACACAAUCAUUGAUAUGUUGAUUUAGGAUCCAAACUUGAAUCAUAUAUUCUUACGUAGUGAAACUAAAAAAGGCCUCGUCGCCAUUCUCCAUCUAUUCCUAUAUAUUCAUCUGUUCGGAAGAAACUGAACUUAACAAAACACCAUGAAAGCAUAAUCGAUAUUUUUUCACUUUUAAGAAAUAUAAGUUGUUAAUAAUAUCAAACCCAAUAAUACAAUAUAUCAACAAUCAAACCAAAUCAACGACCAUACCACAAGCAAAAACAUAAAAUCAAUUCAUUUGGAAGGGUCUUCCACCUCAUUAUGUGCAUGAUUUUCAUACGAAUCCAGUUGCAAAGUAACGGUGUUUAACACUUUGAAUCGAUUCAAACUCCAACAUAAAUUUACUAUUGAUAUUCAUUUGGUCAUUUAUCAAUACUUGCACAACAUUUGUCCCUUAUCAAUACUUGCACAAAAAUAACUUGUGAAUACUGCUUUUUUCGAAUAGAUUGUUUGUAUGUUUAAAUUGAUUGUCAUGUUGGAAUAUUGCUUCUUUUGAAUCGAUUGUUAUGGUGGAAUACUACUUCUUCUUUUUAAUCGAUUGUUUAUAUGUUUAAAUCGAUUGUUAUGUUGGAAUAUUGUUGCUUUUGAAUCAACUGUUUAUAUGUUCAAAUUGGUUGUUAUGUUGGAAUACUACUUCUUUUGAAUCGAUUGUUUAUAUGUUUAGAUCAAUUGUUACGUAGCGCAUCUAAUUUUAGCUUGGCCCCCAAGAUUAACAUCAUGGCUCCGCCACUACGGAUCGAUAUAUAGGUCAAUUCUUGAUUCAAUUGAUCAACUAAUCCUAUUUAAUCCGAUUUAAAUAACUAUGCCACAUAUAUACAUAUUUCUAAAAUAAUAUGUUAGUAUAAAAAUAUUUAAUCAAUUUGAGUUAUGAAAUUGUCGUCUAACAAUAGUUUUGGGUAUCUUAUAAACUCAAAAUUUUCAAAUUAUGUUGGUGUCCAUUUGUGCUUUAUUUUUGGUACAAGCUCUUUUUGGAGUUAUACCAUACAUUAUAUAAUUUAAAAUAUUCUUAAAAAAUAGAUUGAAGUAAAUUAAGCCUAAAAUUUAAAUGUUUAAGUCAAAGCUUAAUUGAUAGUUUAAAUGAGAUUAUUCUUUUUUUUAAAUCUCAUUUUUUUAAUUUUAUCAAACCACCUCUAAAAAAUAAAUAAAAGAUGGUUGUUAGCCUUUUCCUAUAUAUGAGCAACAAUCUUUGGGCAGAGUAUAAAAGAUAGUUUAAGGUAUCUGAUUUUGUAGUAGUGACUAAUCUUUUCAUUGUUACUGCUUUUCAAAAGGUAAUAUGUAAAAAAUGGUAAUAUAUAAUUUACUUAUAAUUAUGGUACGUUUAGUUCGUUAGAGUGAAAUAAAAUUAUAAUAGAAUAAUAACUAUUAGGAAUGAAAUAGAAUUGUAAUUGAAUGGAAUAAAUAUGAUAAUUUGGUUGGGUAGAAUGAAUGAGCUGGUAAUAAUAUUUUUGUAUCUUGAUUUAAAAAAAUGAUAGUAAAAAUCGGCCAUUUUACCAAAAAAGCCCUUUUUUAAAAAUUACCGAAAUGGGCCCAUUAUUUAAUUAUUUACCGGAAUGGUCCAUUUUUCAGCAAAUUGCGUCCACGUCAGCGCGAUGUCAAGGGACGCGUGCUGACGUGGCCGCGAUUUCCUUCGCCACGUAGCGCAUUUCUGGGGACGCAUUUCGGCUUUUAGGGCUUAGGGUUCAGGCUUUUAGGGUUUUUAGGUCUUGGAAGAAAUAAUUUCGAGUUGAUGUUUCUGAUCAAAUAGUAUAAAAUCGCUUCUAACAGGAUGCUAUUUGAGAAGAAUUUGUGAAAUUGCGCCCUCGUGGACGCGCUUUUGCUACAGUAGGUCAUGGAAGAAAUAAUUUUUUUGACGUUUCUAAGCAAAUAAUAUAAAAUCGCUUAUAGCAGGAUGCUAUUUGAGAAGAAUUUGUAAAAUCGCACCCUCGUGGACGCGCUUUUGCUACAAUCGGUCAUGGAAGAAAUAAUUUUUUUGACGUUUCUGAGCAAAUAGUAUAAAAUCGCUUCUAGCAGGAUGCUAUUUGAGAAGGAUUUGUGAAAAUCGCGCCCUCGUGGACGCGCUUUUUCUACAGUAGUAUGUUUAGGCUGAGGCUAUAAAUUAGGCAGAAAAUGCUCUCAGAAUGCAUAAGUCACAGCAGAAAUAAUUUAGAGAGGCUAAAAAGGUUAGAGUUUCAAAUAUGAGUGAACGUAUUAGUGCUGUUAUUUACUACGAUGGUGAGGUUUGCCACACUGAGAAUGGUGUUAUUUUUUUGUAGGAGAAUACGGUGUGACUGGUUUUUAACCAGAACAUAGAUUUGACAGAACUUCGUAAAAGAAUUAGGCGUAAAAUUUUCAGAACGACGCCAAUGAAAGUUUUGUCUAUCACAUAUCGAUUUUGUUCUUCUGUUGAUCCGGUGACAUAUGACUCGUUCGACAUAAAAGGUGCUCAUAGCCUAGAGGCAAUGGUGCAGACUCAUCUUGCUAGUGGAGCACCUUAUAUUGAGUUAUAUGUACAAUUUACAUCGCCAACUAAUGUACUUUCGACCGGUGUUCAAGAUGUAUACACGACCCCUGGCUGACACUCGGUUAGCAGGUUACAAAAUACGGAACAGCCCAUGUUCGGUAGCGGUGUCGAAUGCACAUCCCCCGCGAGACACUCUGUCGGUGGAUGAGACAUCUACCUCAGUAGCUCGAUGUUUGAUGCUGGAAAUACGUACUGGGAACGGCAUCAAGUUCUAGUGGGUGGCAAUCUACAUCCAAUUGGGGACGUUAUCAAAUGCCCAGAAGAAGGAAUGACGUACUCCCUACGACGUCAACCGGUGAGGGGACCUCGUACGCUGCAGAUGAUUGUGGGUUAGAAGAUGACUCCGAUGUGGAUCCACUUCGAGAGCCCGGGCCGGAUGGUGCAGAAGUUGGCUAAUUUUCUGAACCGGAGCCUAUUCCAACAGAACCUGAAGAUGCUGAAAGGAGUUCAGAUGAAGAGGAAAACCCAUGAUUCAGAGCAUACUCACCUCCAGCCCACAUGCAUAAUGUCGAUCUGUCUGCAGAUGAUGCGUUAGAGUUUCCAGAUCUACCACACUGGUUGCGUGAUUGUACAAUUUCGGGGGCAGAUUUCGGUGAAUUUGAAGUUGGUAAUCAGUUUACCGACAAGGAUAGUUUUAUUGGUGCUUUGAAACAACAUAGCAUCAAAAACGUCAUUAACUACAACGUCGUUAAAUCCAAAUAUGAUAAGUUUGAGGCGAAGUGUGCGGUCCAAGAUGGCACAUGUUCAUGGAAAAUCUACGCCUCGUUAAGGAAAAAGGACAGGGUUGUGGGAGGUUAAAAAGUACAAAGGUCCACAUACAUGUGCUGCAGGUAUAGUAUUGACAGUUUCUGAAUAAUACUUUUAUUAUGCAAUGUUGCAUUAUUUAAUUUACUCGAUUUAUAGGUGUUUUACAAAAUCAUCCCAAGAUGGAUUCAGCUAUGUUAGCUAGCUUGAUACUGCCCACGGUAAAAGCAGAUCCCACGACUUCAGUGCCGGUGUUAAUUGCCAAUAUCCGUAGCCAAAUGGGGUACACGCCCUCUUACUGCAAGGCUUGGAUAGCUAAGCAAAAGGCGUUGGAGAAGAUGCAUAGUGGGUGGGACGCCUCAUAUAAUGAAAUAUGGCAGUGGUGUCAGGUGCUAGAGAGAUACGUCCCAGGUGCCAUCACAGACCUUGAAACGGAACAUGCGUACUACAACGGUCGAUUUCUACGUGGAUGCUAAGUGUUCAAAUGCCUGUUUUGGACCUUUAAGCAAUACCGAGACGUAUUUCCAUACUACAAGCCGUUGGUACAAAUUGACGGUACCUUCAUGUUCGGUAGGUAUACUCAUCGGCUAUUGCUUGGAGUGGCACAGGAUAGUGAUGGGAGAAUUCUUCCAAUUGCAUUUGCAAUAACACCGGGGGAGUCGUCUGAUGACUGGGAUUUCUUUCUCUCUAGGUUAAGGAGGCAUGUGUGCCCCCAACCUGAUAUCUGUGUUAUUUCAGAUUGGGGCACCGGUAUACUAGCUGCAUUUGAUCGACAGUGAAGCUUAUGGCAGCGCACACACCAUAUAUAUUGCCUAAGACACAUUGCUUCGAACUACUACAGGCAAUAUCCAUCUAAGAGCGAACGACGACAAGUGACCAACAUUGGUAUUUAGUCUAUAUCUGUGUUAUUUUGUUUGUCAAUUUGAAUUAGUUUUAUUGGUAGAAGUGGUAUAAAUUAUCGCUAUGAUCUUAUAUUGGCAGGGUAUGAAAUAAAUAAAGAUCGUUUUCACGAGAUGUUGGCAAUUUUACGUUCAAUUAACGGAGAAGGGGCGGACUACCUUUGUAACAUACGUUUCGAACAGUGGGCACAAGCAUACGACGGCGGCCUACGAUAUGGCCGUAUGACGUCAAACCUGACUGAAUGCAUAAAUUUUGUUCUUAAAUGAACGCGCCAUCUACCGAUAACAUCGGUUGUGCGAGAGACAUAUUUUCGGUUGGCGGCGCUAUUUCCAAAGCGAGCAGCAAGUUAUGCAGGUCAGAUGCAGGGAGGCCAUGUAUGGUGCAGUAAGGUAGUUCAAGAAAUUAACAAGGUCAAGGCGAGGGCAAACACCAUGCACAUAGUGUGUCACGAACGAGACAAUUUAUGGUUUCGCGUGACAGAGUUUGACAGACCGCACCAAGGUGUUGUUGGCGGGCAAUAUCGUGUACACUUGCGAAAUAGGACUUGUGACUGUGGGAUGUUUGAUGCACUUCGUUAUCCAUGCGUGCAUGUUAUUGCAGCUUGUCUGAAUCUCCGUCUGGAUUCGAUGAGUUAUGUGGACGAAGUGUACAAAUUAGAAAACAUGUACAACAUCUGGAGACACGUUUUCCCACCUGUCCCAGAUGAACGUAAGUGGCUGUCCGUAUCUCUUGCUCCUUUUAAGCUGUUUCCUGAUAGAGAAUUACGUCGCAAACCAAAGGGUCGACCUUGCUUGACUAGAAUACGUAACAAUAUGCAUAUCCGAGAAACAGCCAGUCAAACAAAGUUGUACGGAUGGUGUAGGAAUCCAGGCCAUACAAGUCGAUCAUGCCCUAAUCGUAAUAGUUGAAUGUAAUUGUAAAAAAAUUAAGUUUGUCAAAUUAUUAAUUGAUAAAUUGUAUUAAUGGUUAGUAAAAAUUUCAAAUUAUAUAAAAUUAUUAAUUGUUAGUGUUGACACCAUUUUUUGGAUAAAACGGGGUCGACUUGGGUUUUAAAAAUGAAAACGUAAAUUGGAGUCGCCACCGUUUGAUGAGGUGUGAUCGGAUCACCUCGAAAAGUGGUUCUUUUUAAUAAACGGUUUGAUUUUAUUAAAACAACAAGUUUGGUCCACGAAAUUCAGAAAAACAGGUUCGGGAGUCGGUUACACACGAGGAAGGAAUAGCACCCUCGAUACGCCUAAAAUUGGUACCUAGUUGAUUACUUAAUGUCUUAAUGUCAAAAAUUGAAACUUUGAAGAAUUUUAAAAAUACGAUCCUUAAUUUUCUUUGAAAGAAAUCGAGCUACUCGUUAAGACUUUUUCAUUUCAGAAAAAGAAAAUGUCACACCCAAUGCGUUAGAGUACGAUAUUUUACCUUUUCAGAAAUGAGAUAGUCUAAAACUCGCAUAGUAAAGUUUAAAAGGGUGUUUGAUUGUUUAAAUCAUAUGAAAAAAAAAAUUGCAACCCAAUACGUUAGGGUACAAUUUCUUCAAAUGUUAAACAUUGAAUAUUGCAUUUAUUUAAAAAAAAUCUUCGUUUCGAGAAAUCAACGUGUCAUGUCCAAUGCAUUAGGACACGACGUAUUGAAUUUUCGAUAAUGAGUUUUUAUAUAUGUCUUUUUAUAAAAAAAGAGUAACUUCGAUUAUUUAAAUUCAACAAAGAAAAUCGAAACCCAAUACGUUAGGGCUCGAUUUUCUCGAAGAUCUCAAAUACCGAGUGUUACUUUUAUUUUGAAAUUUUUCAUUUUUGAUAAAUCCGGGUAAAAAUGGAUGCAAAAUAAUGAUAACGAUGAUAAUGUAAGUAAAAUAAUGUGAGCAAAAUAAAAGAUAAAUAAAUAAUAAGACUAAUGUAAAAAAAAAUAAUCAUGCAAGCACAAUAACAAAUAAUAAAUAAAAAUUCUAAAGCAUAACAAAUAAUAAAAAUGAACAUGUAAAUAAAUAAAGAAAAUAAAAGAUAUUUAUGAAUUUUAAAAUAUAAAAAUAUAAGUAUUUACAUAUAUGUGCAUAUGUACAUAAAUAUAAGUUAUAUAAAAAUAUGUAAGUGUAUAAUGCAUAUAUGUAUAUAUAUAUGAAAUAAAAAUAAAGCUAAAAUAAAAUAAAACUAAUUAAUAUAUUAACACAAUAGUCAAAAAUAAAUAAAAGGAAAAUAAAACUAAUAAUAAUUAAUAAUAAUAAUAAUGAUAAUAAUAAUGAAAACAAUAAUAAAAUAAUUAACUAAAUAAUAAAAUUGCUAAACAAAGGCUAAAUCAAAAUAGAAACGAAAAUACUGGGCGAAUUUGAAAUAAAAAACCGAAAAGGAUUAAAUUGCUACACGCGCCGAAAGAGGAGGGACCAAAACGGUAAAUAAACCAAAGCCUCAAAACGCAGCGCUGCAACGGACUAAAAUGAAACAAAAAUAAAACUAUGUGGCUAAAUUAAAAUAAAAGAAAAUAACGAAAAAGGGCCAAAUUGCAACGCGCUGCAAAGUCAGAGGGACUGCGCGCAAAUAUCCCCUUUUGAAAAAACACGCUGAUCCUCCCCCCAGGGUCGGGUCAUCUCGCGGGUCAUGCCAAAACGACGCCAUUUUGGUGCCUGUAAGGCCUGCCCAAAACGGAGUCGUUUCAGGGGCCUAUAUAGGUAAAAAUAAACAAAAAAAAUCAUUUUAAAACCAUUUCAAAAAAAAAACUUUAGCCCCCUUUUUAUUUUCUCUCUAUCCCCUCUCCCUCCGGCCACGUUCCGGCCACUGACCACCGUGCCGGACUCCAGUCGCCGACGUCGGCACCGCCGUGCGCAGUGACCGGCGGGGGUAAAAAAUUUCCUUUUUUAGAUCUCGGCCCACUAAACUCAAAUCCGGCCUCAAAACACCCAAAAAAACAAAAGGCACGUAACAACUAUGGUGAGUUCCUCUUUUCCUUUUUUGUGUUUAUUCAUAUGUAAAAAAAACGAAAGAAAGAAUAAAAAUGAAAUAAAAAUAAAAAAACAAAAACAGUAAUGAACCUGUUCAAAGUUCUUUCUUUUAUUUUUUAUUCUAGUAAAAAAGAGAGAGCUUUACAAUCAGUUUUUGCUUGGCUUUUAUAGCCAUUUUACAAGUUUUUUUUUAUUUGCUUGCUUGUUGCUGUUUCUUUGUGUGCUUUCUUCUCAUUGUAGGUGGAGCAGGUGGCGUUGCAGGUGGUGGUGGCAGAGUUGGUGAUGGCAGAGGGUAAGUGGUGCGGCGCCUAGGGUUAGGGGGAUUAGGGUUUUCUAAAAUUUUUUAGUUUUUGGGCUGGGUUUUUAAUUUUUUUUGGGGCUGUUUUGAUUUGUUUUAUUUUCUCUGGUGGGCCGGGCAAAUUUGGGCUUCUACAGUUAGUAUCUGUCAAAACAUUUUUCCAAAUCUAACAUUAUGUGAAAGUAAAAUUAUUAAUUGAUAAAUUGUAUUAAUGGUUAGAAAAAUUAUCAAAUUAUAUAAAAUUAUUAAUUGUUAGUACUAGGAAAAAACAUUUUUCCAAAUCUAACAUUAUGUGAAAGUAAAAUUAUUAACUUAGUUUAGGGUUUUUAAUUAACUUAGUUUAGGGUUUUUAAGUUAAGGGUUAGGGUUUUUAAGUUAAGGGUUUAGGGUUUUUAAUUUAAUUAGGUUAGGGUUUUUAAUUUAAUUGUUAGAGUUUUUAAUUUAAUUGUUAGGGUUUUAAUUUAAUUAGGUUAGGGUUUUUAAGUUAAGGGUUAGGGUUUUUAAUUUAAUUAGGUUAGGGUUUUUAAGUUAAGGGUUAGGGUUUUUAAUUUAAUUAAAUAAUAUCAAAAUAUUCAAAAUAUUUGUACAAAUAAAUUUAAAUACGGCAAUCAAUGUCUAUGCCCGGGGGAUUCAGUGCCACAUGGUGGCCGUCGACGGUUAUGCGCUGGAUUCCUUCUUUCUCUAGCUUCCGGCGACGGUUGUUGCUCCUCCAGCAGGGAUUCUGGUCCUUCCGGUACGACAUCUAUUGUCGGACUUGGGAUGAUGAUCCACCUUCAAAGAAUAGUGUAUGUGGAGGUGUUUGCAUCACGAACGGCGACGGUGUUUGAAACUCAUACGUUGGUGGGGAUUGGUAAAAAGGAGAGCUCCCCGACGGCCCCUCUUGCGAUCCCUAGUGUGCCGCUGGCCUAUACAUCGGCGGUCCACUCAGCAUAACAAGAAAUGGAGCUGAACCGGGCAUUUGGCUCCAACCUGCCAUAGGACUCGGAAAAGGAUACAUAUAAGGGUAAGGAUACAUAUAAGGGCUAGGAAACGCACCUGACAUCAUCUGAAAAGACGAUUGCGUGGGUAUCAUCGACUGAACUGCUGCAUUGGGUGACUGUGUCGGUGCUCUCGCUGGGCCUGGUGAUUGCAUGGCCACUGAUGAUGAGCCGGGUGAAUGUCUGGGCCUCGUUGAGGGGCUACCUUCGUCGUCUUGUCGUCUUGGAUUUAGAGGCUCGAGCCUUUCCCUUUCGACACGUAUUUGUCGCUGUCUCUCCUCUGGCGUCAGUAAAUACAGCUUGCCAUGGAUCCUAAACCAUGGCAUGUAUUCUGGAACGCACGAUAACUCCGGAACGAUGAUUGGUUCUCGAGUAGGUAUAUAUUCAUACCGAUCUUCCCACAUUUCCAUGUACUCGGACCGAUAACUCAGCCAAUCCGUAUUCAAUUGCCAAAGGUCGACCUUGUGUUGAUUGUCAAACACCUCAGGAUCCACGGGAAUCGGUUGUCUACAUCUAAACUGUCGUAGCACUCUGUCUGACUGGUGCGGCUCCAUGGUUGCGUAGUUGAUCAACACGACUUUCACCUGCCAAGCUUGUGGAUUUUGUAAGAACUCUUCCGGGAUUACUGCCCGAAUUGCCAGAUCCUCAUAUGGUGUCCAUUGAAACUAUAUGAACAUGAUAGAAAUAUUAGUUAUAUACAUAAUACUAAAUACCAAAUACUAAAUACCAAUUGACUAGCGAAUGAUGGAAAUAUCAAUUUUAUUUAAUACUUACAUGUGCUUCCGACUGUUGGUCUAAUAGAAGCCGUAUAUCUUCAAGAGAGGUAGGUAAUCGAGCAUGACUUGCCGGAUGGUUCCACCUAAUUAAAUAAAAUUUUAGCAUACUUUUAUUUUUAAAAAUCUACAUAAUAAUUGUAAAAUCUAAUAUAAAAUUUACCUCGUUAUGAGUGGGAAUGUAUAUGGGUGGUCCACUCGAGGACGUAGAAAUGGAAAGCGAAAUCGUGCCCACGACUGUAGUAGUGAUAGGCAACCUCCAAUUUUUGCUCUCCUCGGUCGCGUCGCCCUGCACAUCUCCCGAUAUAACGUUGCCAAGACGGCAGACCCCCAACUCAAUUCACUGGCUACUCUAAAAUCGACGAGUUUCAGCAGUCAUCUUAGAUGUACGCGGCUCCCUGACGUGUCGGGCAUCAGAUAACCACCAAUUAUUUGAAGAAUGUAGGCCCGAGCAUAUUGGAUUCUUUCAAUUUCGGUUGAAUCUUCAUCCGGAUCAGGGAAUGUGUCACGUAACUAGCCCAUCUCAAUCUUACCUCCCUCCAUUUUCUCCGGAAUAGCGCCCAAAAGCUUGUAGCACACCGCCCCCCAAUCGCUAGAUUGGGCAGACCCGAUGACUGGGUACCCGUCCACCGGUAAUCCUAAUUGGAAACUGACAUCUUCUAGAGUGAUAGUGCACUCUCUACUUGGAAGAUGGAAUGUGUGCGUCUCGGGUCUCCACCUCUCGAUCAACGCACUGAUUAGUUUCGGGUACAACUUGCAUCCCCGGCCUACCGUCGCCACGUGCCAAAAACCUGCUUCCCGCAGGUAGUUCUCUACUAACGGUGAUGGAGGAGCAUGCAUAUUCUGGAUCUUGCAUUCCAAUACCCGAUCUACAGACUUUUAUAACAAAUAAUAAAUUAAUAAUUAUCUAAAAAUGCAUAAAUAAAAAAUUCUUAAAUAAUAUUUAAAAAUUAAAUUUCACACUUACCAUUUUCAUUUGUUCCACCGAUAUGUGAUGCUUAUCAAGACAAGUCAAUGAUCCAGCCAUUGAUGAAAUCGUACAAAUUUUUACGAAUUAUAAAAAAUAUAAAAUUAUUUUUAAAAAGGAAAUUGAGAGCAAAUUGAAAUUAAAUAUGGAUUUGAGAGAAUUUUGGAAGGAAAUUAAGAGAAAAUUGAAAUUAAAUAUGGAUUUGAGAGAAUUUUGGAAGGAAAUUGAGAGGAAAUACGAGAGAGCAUUAGUUUGUGAAAAAAUAAAAAGGGGUGGGGGUAUUUAUAGCUUUUUUUUACCGUUGGGGGGGCAACAGUCAAAUUUUUGACCGUUGGAGCAUUGUUCAUGCGCGGAGGAAAUCGCGGCCACGUCAGCGCGAUUUGCUGACAUGGCAUCAAAUCGUGUUCUAGAGGGCGCGAUUUGUUGCCAUGUCAGCAAAUCGCGCUGACGUGGCCGCAAUUUCCUGGCGCGUCCCCUGACAUCGCGCUGACGUGGACGCGAUUUGUCGAAAAAUGGAUCAUUCUGGUAAAUAAUUAAAUAAUGGGCCCAUUUCGGUAAUUUUUGAAAAAAAAGGGCUUAUAUUGGUAAUUUGCCCGUAAAAAUCAUCUGAAAAUAAGACGAAAUUCAAAGUACAACACCAAGUCUUCAUCAAGCAGUGUACAUGUCCAAAUUACUAUAUUGAUUAAUAAUAACAUUGAAUAAAUAACCUUCAAGAUUCAAUCCUUUAAGUUUUCUUUCUCCUUUAUUUACUUCCAUUUUAUAUAUGAUAUUUAGACUUAUUAAUGGGUUGAGUUAUUGAUCUAAACUUAAAAGAUUGUUUAAAUUUUGAAGGAGUUUUGGUAAAAAUAUUAAACCCUAAAAAUAGGACUAGACAAAAAAAAUUAAGUUUAUUUAAAAUAUGAGUUAAACUCAUAUAUGAACAUUCAAGGAUUGAACUAGGCUCGGCCCAUUUUUAAAAUUUGUAAUUUUUAUAUUAUAUUAUUUUUAUAUAUUAUGUAAUAUAUAAUACAAAAAUUAAAUUUAUAGUAAUAUAUAAUAUCGUAAAAAUUAAAAAAAACAUUAAGAUGAAUAUAUAUAUAAAAGUUUAAUAAAUAAAAUAUAUAAAUUAUUAAAUAGUAUUAAAAAUAAUAUAAAUAAUUUUAAAAAAUAAUUAUAUGGGUGGAUUUAAAAUGAAUUUGGGUUAACUAUUUAUAAGUAUGGAUGGGCUUAAACAAAUUUUAGGUACAUAUUUCAGACUGGGUUUGGUUUCUUGACAACCAGAAAAUGUGUUAACAACAUACUUAAAUCUAACCGAAACUCAACCCGACGCAUAGGGGAUUAUGUUUAAACAUCAAAUAAUAUUUGUGAAAUAUGAUUAAUUUUUAGAUAUUGCCUUAUGAGUAAAACUUUUUUAUUAGUUUGAAGAGUUGUGAGUUUAAUACUCUCUCAAAAUCGAUUCUUUAAUCAAUUUCCAAUUCAACCAAUUUAUCAGUCGAUCUAAUUCGGUUCAAACAACCCUAAUUAUAUGAAUUUCAAGCUGUUGAAGUUACAACUGAUAUUAAAAUAAAUCGGAACCUUCUCUAUCUCACCAAACUUACUCUAAACCAAGAGCAUAAAAAAUAAAAAAAUAAAAAUCCUCCUCUAAACCAUGCAGUGUUAGCAAUCGUAAGAUCUGUUAGUGAAACAUUGAGUAGAAACUAUAGAUGACAACAAGUGGGAACCCUCACCUUGUCAGAGAUCAUAGGAAGUAUUGAACUCUUAUAAUUAGAAUAAUCAAGUUCCACUGCAAAUAACGAUCAAAACCCACAAAAAUAAAAAUGCAUACCAUGAACAUGCAGCAGUUCAUAAUAUUCUUUGAAGUUUUAGACUCUUGACAAUAACCAGAAAAUUCAAACACAAACACAGUCUGUAUCUUCAGUUCAUAAACAUCCCAAUAAACCAUUGGGAUUCAAACACAAAACCAUCACACAAACACAUAUUGUCAGUAUCUUCAGUUCAUAAACAUCCCAAUAAACCAUUGACAUUCAAACACAACCAUCACACAAAUGCAUACUGGCAGUAUCUUCAGUUCAUAAACAUCCCAAUAAACCAUUGAGAUUGUAUUUCAAAGAAGCAAAUUACUCAACCCGUGGCUUUUUCGGCAAACUGGCUAGAUUCAGUUGGUUUUCUUUUAACCCAGCUUCGUCCUGAUCCAGCUUCAGUUUCUUUUCUUUUAAGUCAGCUUCGUCCUGAUCCAGCUUCAGUUUCUUCUCUUUUAAGUCAGCUCCAUCCUUCUCCAGCUUCAGUCUGUCUUUUCUAAUAUUAGCUUUCUUCUUCCACUACACCAAAACAGGGUUUUAGCGGCACUUUCUUAGGUCUAUAGUGGCGUUUUUUAGCGCCGUAAAUACUUUUAGCGGCGCUUCGCAAAGUGCCGCAAAGAUUGCUGCUAAUGACAGCGUCGGUAACUUUCGCGGCGCUUUCUAUGAUAAACGCCGCUAAAGAUCAGGAAUUUUAGCGGUGUUUUUUUUACAACGCCGCUAUAGACCAUGUUCUUUAGCGGCGCUUAAAUAAAAACACCACUAUAGACCGUGAUCUUUAGCGGCGCUUAAAAAAAACGCCACUAUAAACCGUGGUCUUUAGCGACGCUUACCAAAAAAUGCCACUAUAGACCAUGGUCUUUAGCGGUGCUUAACCAACAAACGCCACUACAGACCAUGGUCUUUAGCGGCGCUUAACCAACAAAUGCCACUACAGACCAUGGUCUUUAGCGGCGCUUAACCAACAAACGCCACUAUAGACCAUGGUCUUUAGCGGCGCUUAGGCGAAAAACGCCACUAUAGACCAUGGUCUUUCGCGGCGCUUAGGCGAAAAACGCCAAUAUAGACCAUGGUUUUUCGCGGCGCUUAGGAAAAAAACGCCACUAUAGACUGUGGUCUUUAGUGGCGCUGACCAAAAAAUGCCACUAUAGACCAUGGUCUUUAGUGGCGCUUAGGCGAAAAACGCCACUAUAGACCAUGGUCUUUCGCGGCGCUUAGGCGAAAAAUGCCACUAUAGACCAUUGUCUUUCGCGGCGCUUAGGAAAAAAAUGCCACUAUAGACCAUGGUCUUUAGUGGCGCUUAUGCAAAAAACGCCGCUAAUUUUGGUAGAUUUGGAAAGUUUUUUUUUUAUUUGCAGCCCUCCCGUAAAAACAAAUCAGAAGAAACCAAAUCUAAACCAACCAAAAGUAAUAAAUCUAUAUAAUAUUUAAAAUAAAUGUCAAUAAAUAAAAUAAAAUUCGUAUUAUUCUUACAAAAAUUGUAAAAGUUUAAAUGAUAAUACCAAAGUCAAAAUUGAAGUAUAUUUACACGAUAGUCUAAGACGACGGCGGUUGCGAUUGCUGAAACAUCUUCAUCAUAUUCUGAAGCUGCUGCUGGAGUUUAUCGAACUUUUUAAGUUGUUCUGCUUCCCUCGCCGCAGCCUCUACUUUACUCGCUUUAGCCUCUGCUUCUCUCGCUGCCGCAUCUGCUUUAAGCUGCUGCUGGAGUUCUUCAUGCUUUCGUUGAACCUCAACUUCUCUCGCUGCUGCCUCUGCUUCUCUCGCUGCCGCAUCUGCUUUAAGUUGUAGCUGGAGUUCUUCAUAUCUUUUUUGAACCUCAGCUUCUCUCGAUGUUGCCUCCGCUUUAAGUUGUGUAAUUUGCUCAGUUGUUGUCGCUUGCAUCUGAGAUAUCUGGUCUCUUAACCUCUAAACUUCAGCUUGGGCCUGACUCGCCGAACGCAUGUGUUGUUGCGAGCUGGAUCCAAAAUAUUGGGAUGGGUUAACAAAAGAUCCUUGAAAUCGAACCCGACCAUACCUUUCAGGACCCAAAACUUCAGUGAUAAUUCGGUUAUCAAUGUCGUCAAUAUGAACAGAACUAUCACUGGAAGUAAUCGCUUCGUACUCUACUUUUUUAUCCUUCAGUUUUUCCUAAAAAAUAAAUCACAUAGUUAAGAACGCAAUAUAUAUUAAAAAAACAAAUGCAACAUAACUUAACAAUAUUUGCAUUACAAGAAAUGAAAUAAACCAUUAGAAAAUAAACAGUAUAAAUAAUUAAAAUAAGUCAAACUGUAUUAAGCAAACGUACCAUAAUUUCUGCAGCUUCAGGAGUCAUAGGGUUUCCAUCUUUCUUCCUAUGUGUAAUGUUAAAAAGUUGAAGGCGUCCAACUUUUUGACCCGACAACACUUCCUACAAUACAAUAGUAAAAAUAUUAUUUGAUAGAAAGAAAUAAAUAUCUGCCAGUAUUAAAAAAUUCAAAAUACCUCGGCCUGAGCUACACACGCAAAACUUCUCGACCCAGCUGUGUGCGUGAAUUUUUGUUUCUGCCUACUACUUGNNNNNNNNNNNNNNNNNNNNNNNNNNNNNNNNNNNNNNNNNNNNNNNNNNNNNNNNNNNNNNNNNNNNNNNNNNNNNNNNNNNNNNNNNNNNNNNNNNNNUAAAUACUAUAAACCAAAAUAAUUACAAGAUUUUUGUAGUAACACAUACCUCUCAUUUCUUCGAAGUCCAAAAUCUAACGACCUCUUCCCACUGGUACCUUAGCAUUCCCGGCGGGACAUUUUGUAAUUUCUCGUCGAGUGUUGUUUUUGUCUUAAAAUAGUCUUUCUUUAAAGUGCUCUUAUGGUCUCUCCAUCUUUUUCCCAAUGCCUUCUUUACAUAAGCAUCGGAGACCUCUAGAGCAAAUCUCGCCUAAAAAAAACACAACUUAAGAAAGUAAAUGUAAACGAAACUUAAACCCAAGUAUUAUAAAUGACAUACACGUUUUUUUACCUUAAUGUUAUCGAGAGCUUGGUUCUUGUUACUCUCGGGCACUUUAUGCCAUGACUCGAAGUUAAUUGGCAACAUAUUUGCAUUCUGUGCUAGAAUGCCCAUGUAUCCUGCUAAAAGGCGAGCUUCUGAUCCAACAGGCUGACCAAAGCUAUUACUGGAUACUUGGACACGCUCGACUGGAUCUAGAUCGUAUAAAUCCCUCAGUAGCGUACGUCCGUGAACUCCUCGCGUCCCAGCAGUUUCAGCUAGAAAAUAAAAGUAUUGUAAUAUAAGAAAUUUAAAAAAUAAAAUAAAUAAUAUGUCAACACACAUGUAAGUUAAAUGUUAAAUUACUUUUAGCUUCUAUAGGUUCAAGUGUAACCGGAACGUUCAAAGAUCCAAUAGCAGUUUUUGUUCAGUGCUGUUUGUUUCGGUCGAGUUUGGAGUACCUUGAACAAUACGGUGCGCUCGCACGGGUCUUCUAGGCAUUUUAUCUACAAUAUAAAUAAAUUAGUGGAAAGCUUAAUAUACAAUUACAACAAUAAUAAUAUGUUUAAAAUAGUUUAAAUAUAUAAUAAGACCAAUAUUAUGAUAUGAUAUUACAUAUAAUUAAAUAAUCGUAAAAGCUUACUAUAUUAUAAUCCAUAAAUAUCUUCAUUCGUAUCCUGGCGGACCCAUUGACUGUGUGUACUAGUACUAGGGAUGUUUUCGUUUAAGUUUUGUUCUGGAAAUGGCAAAGUUUGUGUUCUGUCGUCAACGCCAUCUCUGCUUCCACUGCCCAUGUCAAACAAGUCCCUAGGGAUGUUACGAAGCACAACGUACCAACCCUCAUCAAUUGGAUCUUUUGAGUAAAAAACGUGUUUGGCUUGAGAAGGAAAUACGUACGGCUCAUCAAUCAAUUGUUGUCCGGUAUGAAUCAAUCGAGUGAAGUUCACCAUUGUGAAACCAAAUUGAUCUUGCUUAAUUCCACAACCAGUAUUAACAUCGGCCCAAUCACCUCGAAAUAAGACAACUUUCCAUUUUCCGUAGUAAUCCAACUCAAUUAUAUCAGUAAGAAGUCUGAAAUAUUCUACAUUUCCCUCGACAGGAUUGUUGUCCCUAGCACUAGCAUAACUAGUAACUGAGGAAUUAACAACUAUUCCACAAUUUUGCGUUCUCCUCAAUCUCUCGCGAUAUUUUGUAUGAAAUCUAAAUCCGUUUAUGAGGAACGCACUAUAUCUUUUAACCACCAGAUUUGGACCUUGAGAAAGCCAUUUGACUUCGUCGGUCACGUUCUUCCCACUCCAAACCUAUUGUAUGAUAAGUCAACUGAGUAAUUUCAAAUGUUAUGAGACAAGAUUAUAAUUAUAUGUUGAUGAAAGCUACAAUUGCAUACCGUUUCAGUUAACCAUUCAUGGAAAGAUUCUAUGAACAACUUAUUGAUGUCUCGAAGUUGUGUUUUUCGGGAGCGCGAACGAGAUCUCAGUAUUUGUUUGUACUCACUAUGUAAAAAAUAUGUUCAGCUUGUUAGAAGAUAAACAACUGAGGACUAAUUGAUGAAUAUCAAUCAAAUGGUUAAAAGAUAAAUAAUCUUACUUGCGUAAAGGUUCCAUUGAUUCGUGGUGAAACAGAACAUACCGAUGUGCUUGUACCCACGAAAAACCAUCUAAUUCUGCAAUUUCCACUUUGCCGAUUAGUUCUCCAAAACUUUGGAACAAAUAAGUAUCGGCCAAGUUAUGAUCUGUGAGUCCAGCAUUUCUAUUUGGUCUGCUCAACCUUGUUUCAACAUCAUCCAAAUAUUGCGAACAGAAGGUCAUACAUUCCUCUGCUAAGUAGGCUUCAGUAAUCGAUCCUUCUGGAUAACGCUUGUUGCGGUAGUAAGACAUUAAUUUGGAUAGGAACUUAAACACAAUAAAUAAUGUUAUGAAAAGUUGUACUUAAAGGCAUAUAGGGUUUACGGAAGGAGAGUUUUUAAAAUAAAUUAACACAUUUCUAUGGGAUACAUCCAUCGGUGAAAAACGGGUACGCCAAGAAUUGCUUCUCCCGGGAGGUGGUUUAUCAAGUGAACCAUAAUAGUGAAGAAGGAUGGUGGAAAGAUUUUCUCCAUGUUGCAUAAAGUCAAUGCGGCUCUAUCCUGUACCUUCUGAAGUUCUUGAACAUCCAAAAUGGCUUUCAUUAUAUUGGAUAGUUCAAUUAUACAGGACGUCACCUUCUUCGACAUACAACAUCGUAGAGCAACUGGCAGUAAAUCUUGCAUCAAGAUGUAAUAGUCAUGUGAUUUUAGCGAAUACAGUCUUCGAUCUUUAACACUAACACAUCGAGAUAUAUUUGAUGCAUACGCAUCUGGAACCUUUAUAUCCUUCAACACCGUACAGAACACUUCUUUCUCUGUCCUCGACAUCGAAAAAAUUGAAGGCGGCAACCGAUAUUUCCCAUUAGGAAGUGGACUCGGAUGAAGAUCAGGUCGAAUUCCCAUUUGGACUAAAUCAAGUCAACUCUGAAGAUUGUCUUUUGAUUUUCUAUCUACAUUCAAAAUUGUACCCACAAUGUUCUCGCAGACAUUUUUCUCAAUGUGCAUAACAUCAAGAUUGNNNNNNNNNNNNNNNNNNNNNNNNNNNNNNNNNNNNNNNNNNNNNNNNNNNNNNNNNNNNNNNNNNNNNNNNNNNNNNNNNNNNNNNNNNNNNNNNNNNNCCACAAGUCCGCCUCAUUGGGAUCAUCCUCUUCAUCGGAGUCAUCAUCAGCUUCAUCAUUUGAUCUUCUAUUUAUUUGCAUGUUUGUCGGGUGGUUCAUCUUUCCAUAACCGAAAUUUAUAUCUUUCAACAUGAACAAGAUAUCAGAUCCACUUGUCUGCGAAGGAGCUUCUCUGAACUCUUCGGUACCGUCAAAUACUGAACUCUGAAAUCUAAAUCUAUGAUUUUUCGGUAACCACCGACGAUGCCCCAUGUAAGAGAACUUUUUCCCAUUGUAUAACCAUUGCGAACAUGUUUGUACAGCACAACAAGGACACGCAUAACGACCCUUUGGACUCCAACCGGAUAAAUUGGCAUAAGCGGGGAAGUCAUUAAUGGUCCACAUCAAAGCUGCACGUAAAUUAAAGUUAUCCUUUCUCAGCACAUCGUAUGUCUCGACACCAGCCCGUAAUUGUUUUAACUCUUCAAUAAGUGGUUGUAAAUAAACGUCGAUAUCAUUCCCGGACCCUUUCUCUCCAGGGAUAAUCAUAGAUAAGAUAAGGGAAGAUUGCUUCAUGCAAAUCCACGGAGGCAGGUUGUAAGGAACAAGCACUACUGGCCAAGUACUGUACGCAGUGCUCAUGAUCUUGUAAGGAUUAAAUCCAUCGGAUGCUAGGCCAAGCCUCACACUCCUAAGAUCUCUUGCAAAGGUUGGAAAUUUAUUGUCGAAUGAUUUCCAAGCUAAAGAAUCUGCUGGAUGCCUUAAUAAUCCAUCAUCGAUUCAUCCAUCAUGGUGCCACGUCAUUGACUCCGCUGUCCUCGACGACAUGAAAAGCCUUUGAAGCCUUGGUAUCAGCGGAAAAUACCACAAAAUCUUGACCGGCUUCUUUCUUGGUUGUGCAUCAUUUUCAUCGUCGUUCCCGUCUUCUGUGUUUCUAUUUAUCCAACGGGAUUCGCCGCAUACAUGACAGCACUGUUGGUUUCUCCGAUCGCCCCAAUACAACAUGCAGUCGUUCGGGCAACUAUGGAUUUUGUUGUACCCAAGACCUAAGUCUUUUAUCAUUUUCUUCAUAUCUUUGCAUGACUGAGGGAUUUUUGCAAAUAGAAACAUUUCUCUCAAAAACUCUAGCAGCAUUGUCAAAGAGCACAAUGUACCAACCCUCCCAAACAUUUUAACUGGAAAAGACGAACGCAGAAAGCCAUUUUGGAGAAUUUUGAUCCCUCAUAUAGUUCUUCGUUCAUCUCAUUAAGAAGCGCAUAGAACUUCACCACUUCUCCAUUCGGCUCUUCAUGAGGUACACUUGUUCCCCGUUCAGUAAAAGCAUUUGCACCAGCAUUACAAUUAUCAGAUGCCACAAAGUCGGUCGGGAACGACUGAAAACCAUGACUGUGCAUAUUAAAUGCAUCCCGCAACAUACCUUUCAUGUCAUCCCCUCUAUCAGACUGAUGGUAAGCAGUACCAGGAUAAGAUACACCUAUUCUUGAAGAGGAAGUACUAGGCGGGCAUUCUCCAUGGAAAAACCAUUUUUUAUAACCUCGAACAAACCCAUCAACAACUAGAUGCUCGUAUACAACUUCACGAUAAUGCCAGUUUAUGUUGACACACUUGUUACAGGGGCAAAGAAUCAUGUUCUCUUGGCUUGCAUAUUGAAAUGCAAAAUUCAGAAAAGUUUGUACUCCAUUUCUAUAUUCGUUGCUUACCCUUGACAAAUACAUCCAAGACCGGUCCAUUGCUUAAUUAUUGCAAGUCUGAUUUUCAGCAGAAAUUACAAGGGUAAGUUGUUAACUUCAUUGGUAUUGUUUCACUAUCUAAGUUAUCAUAUGAUAUAUAUUAAUAAGUUAUGUCGUAUUAUAUAAGUUAUGUAUUAAAAAUGUAAAAGUAUUAAUAAGUUAUGUAAGUUAUGUAUCAUUUAUCCAUAAAUAUAUUAAUAAGUUAUGUCGUAUUAAUGUAAGUUAUGUAAUUUAUGUAUAAUAUUAAUGUAAGUUAUGUAAGUUGUAAGUUAUGUAAUUUAUGUAUAAUAUUAAUGUAAGUUAUGUAAGUUGUAAGUUAUGUAUAAUAUUAAUUAAUUAAGUUAUGUAAUUUAUGUAUAAUAUUAAUGUAAGUUAUGUAAUUUAUGUAUAAUAUUAAUGUAAGUUAUGUAAGUUGUAAGUUAUGUAUAAUAUUAAUUAAUUAAGUUAUGUAAUUUAUGUAUAAUAUUAAUGUGGCUUCUACGUCUCNNNNNNNNNNNNNNNNNNNNNNNNNNNNNNNNNNNNNNNNNNNNNNNNNNNNNNNNNNNNNNNNNNNNNNNNNNNNNNNNNNNNNNNNNNNNNNNNNNNNNNNNNNNNNNNNNNNNNNNNNNNNNNNNNNNNNNNNNNNNNNNNNNNNNNNNNNNNNNNNNNNNNNNNNNNNNNNNNNNNNNNNNNNNNNNNNNNNNNNNNNNNNNNNNNNNNNNNNNNNNNNNNNNNNNNNNNNNNNNNNNNNNNNNNNNNNNNNNNNNNNNNNNNNNNNNNNNNNNNNNNNNNNNNNNNNNNNNNNNNNNNNNUGUAUAUAAUGCUCAAAUUCUUCACUAAUAGUGCCAUCAAAGGAUAAUGACAAGACAUUUUUCUCAAUUUCCAUAAUUUAGUCAAAUGAUCCUCUUUCGAUUCCAAUUCCAACCAUUGUUGCUUAUAACCAUUGAGAUUGUAAACUUACCAACGCUAGACCACCUCCACAUGCAUUAAUCAAAUCCUAAAUUAUAUUUUAGAAGGGGCACCUCCAUAUGCAUUAAUCAAGCCCUAAAUUAUCUUUUGGAAGGGGAAUCGAAGCAAUCUACAAAAGGAUCGACUAUUCUAAAAGAUAAGCAAAGGAAUCCCAUUUCCAAUUGUCAUGAUUAUCUACCAUAUCGGAGACCNNNNNNNNNNNNNNNNNNNNNNNNNNNNNNNNNNNNNNNNNNNNNNNNNNNNNNNNNNNNNNNNNNNNNNNNNNNNNNNNNNNNNNNNNNNNNNNNNNNNGCUAGCUUCCAUAGUGCUUUUGCUAAUCAAAGGUCUUACAUUAAGCAGCUACCUUUCUAUUAACAUCGUCACACUUCUUCCAUUGUCUACUGACCAACUUAUAUUAGUUCGAAGCAUCUCUUGUACUUUCAUGAAUGAACCUCAAACUUAUAUUACAUUUUACCAUGUACUAAAAUGAGAAUGAGAUAUUAAACCAUAAUAUGUUGAUCGGAAAGGCAAAUGGGAGCACAUGGGAUAAGAAUUAGAGGACCCACAUGCAAAUAUGUCCUUAAAUUUGAAAGCUUUUUCAUGGGAACUUGAAGAAUAUGCAAAUUAUUAACAAAUUUUUCACUACAAGCCUGCAAAUCUAUUUCAGUGAAGGAGAGAAGGAGGAAAACCUGUCGACUGUUGUACCCUAGCGACGGCAGAGAACUGCGGUGGUACAGCACUGUGACGGUCGACGGUUGACGAGCGAGAACAGAAGGGUCGACGAGCAAUGUAGCAGAGAUGGUUGGGGCGCAGCAGCCUAGGGUUCUAGAAUUGGGGGAUUUUUGGGGGAAAAAUCGGGAGCAAUUUUGGGGAGAAAUUUGGGGGGAAUUUCGGCUAAGUGUUGGGAGUAAUUGGGAUGUAAGAGACGAUCUUUUGCGGUGUUUUUAACCUAUCGCCACUAAUGCUGUUAAUGUGGCAGAUAAAACGACACCGUUUAUUUAAAACCGGAAAGAAAUUUUGCGGCGUUUUCCACAUAGCACCGCUAAAUCCAACCUUUAGUGGCGUUUCGACACUUGCGCCGCAAAAGCCAUUCAAUUCUCAAACAAAACUACAUCGUUUUCACCAAAUCUUUAAUAACUUGUUGCGGCAGUUUUGCUAAGAACGCCGCGAAAACUCACAUCUUUUAUUUAUUUAUUUAUUUAUUACCUGUAUCUUUUAUUAACUGUAUCUUUUAAUUACUAAGUAUAAUUAAAGUUUAGCAAUCCUUUUGACAAUGAUAAUACAAUAAUAAUAAAAAUUUAUUAAUUAUUAAAACAAUUGUACACUACUAAAAGUUUACUUUUAUAUUCGUAAUUAACUUUUAAUAUUUUAGACUAAAUUGUUAUAAUUUUUUCUUUUGCUUUCUAGUUCUUAUUUAUUAUUAUACAAAUACAUAACGAAUUAAUCAAGUAUUAUAUUUCAUUACCAAGGAAUAUAUCAAUGAAUUCAAAAUUCCUACAUUUUUCCUAUAUAACACAUUUUAAUAAUAUAAAAGUAUUAAUUAAUUAAUUGUAUCAUUUAACAAGUCUCAAUUAAACCUUAAACCCUAAUUUAACCAUUCAAUAUACAUGCAUAUAUAAAGUUAUCUAUACAGUAUUACGACGUCGUUUUUUUCCUAUCUAACCCAGUUGCGGCGUUUAUACAUAAGCACCACAAAAUAUACAGUCAAUUGCGGUCGUUUCGACAUCAGUUAAAUUAAACUCCUGGCAUUUUCAACCCUAAACGCCACAACUAAAAUACGUAAAACGGCACCGUUUAUAUAUAAAACUUAAACUAUUUGCGGCGUUUUAGGGAAAGCGCCACUAAAGACAAUGCCAAACUACGCAGUUUCUUAACUCAUAAUACACUAUUGCGGCAUUUACAAAAAGCGCCACUAAAUGGAAACAACAAAACGGCGAUGUUUUGCUAACAUUUCAAUAAAAUUAACCGAUAUUUCAAUGAUUUCGUUUAAAUUAGAGAGAAAAUUUUAACUAAUAAUUACACAUUUUAAAAAGAAAAUACAUCAGUAUAUUUUUAUAUUGAAUAAAUAUAACUAUUUAUGUAUGCAAUAUGAAUAAAAUUUUAUUUUAAUUAUAUCAAUAAUUAUGUUACUAUUUUACAAGAUUAUCUGGAUCACACACGAUAAAAGUUAAUGUAUAAAAUAGUUGAACAAUAAAACAUUGUUCGUGUCUGCUUUUGGGAUUUAACCCAUUUUGAUAUAUUUUUUAAAAUAUUAAUUUAUAUUUACAUUAUUUUCAUUUAUAUUAAUCUAGAAUAUCUAUAAUUAAACACAAAAGCCCCAACCUGAAACCCUAAAAUCAUCAACCAUGUUAUUUAUCCGUAACCAUCAAACCCCAAACUAUAAACCACUAUACUGUAAGCCUUAAUUAAUUAAUCGUAAACCCUAAACCUCAAACUAUAUAAACCUUUACCCUAAACCACAAACCCCAAAUCAUAAAACUUAAACCCUAAACCCGUCAAUUAACCAUAAACCACCAAACCACAAAAUCCAAUCCACAAUAUAUCGUACGCAUGAACCGUAAAUCUUAAACCCUAAAUUAACCAUAAAAAUUAAACUCGUAAACCACAAACAACAACCACCAAAUCAUAAACUCUAAACCCUAAACUUGGCCACCCCUAAAGUCUAAACCGUAAGUCAUAAACCAUAAUCCUAAACCAUAUCUUUGAAAAUUCGGGUGCCCAAUGUGUUAGUUUAGUACAGAACAUAUAUUUUAUAUUAUUUAAUUAUUUAAUAUAGGUGUGCUACAACGUGGCAUGGAUCCCAGUAAAAUUAAAAUGUUAUUCUUUAAUUAGUUUUCAAAUAGUAGUAGAUAUAUAUCUUUAAACCUUAAACAUCAAACCUUCAAUCCCUACCCCCAAAAUAGAAAAUAGUAUAUAUACCAAAAACCCUAAAACUCUGUAGCAAAAAUAAUGGAAAAAUAAAUCCUAAAAUAAUGGAAAAAUAAAUUAAGUUUCUUGUGGCGUUUUUAAUCUAAAGCGCCACUAAAAAUUACUCUAUAGCGGCGUUUCCAAAUAAGCGCCGCUAAUUAAUCUAUACAUGAAGCCGUAACGAUGCGUUUUGGACAAAUUUUUUGCGGCGCUUAAGCAAAAGCGCCACUAAAAGCUGAUAUCUAGCGGCGUUUAUGGGUAAGCGCCACUAAAGGCACUAUAGCUCAAGACGAAACGUUGUGUUUCGCUUUCAAACUUUCCGGCGUUUUUCAGUUACACACCGCUAAUAUCAGGCUAUAGCGGCGUUUAUCACAAGCGCCACAAUUGGCUCUAUGCCUCAUUGCCAGACGCUGCGUUUUGGUUCAAAUAUUUUGUGGUGCUUGUUCUAUAGCGCCGCUAAUGAUGUGCUUCAGCGGCGUUUAUACAAAAGCGCCACUAAUUCUACCAUAACUCAAUAUUGUACGUUGCGUUUUGUUUAACAUUUUUUGCGGCACAUACAAAAAAACGCCGCUAAUUGCACUCUAUAAUGGCAUUUUCAUAAUGCGCCGCUACUGCCACUAUUCCUGAAUAUUGAACGAUGCGUUUUGUCAGCUUUCUUACGGCGUUUUUGUUUAAAAACGCCACUGAUGGUGCUCUUUUUGCGGCGUUUUGAUAGAAUCGCCGCUAUUGCUGGAUCUUUACCUGCGUUUUGUGAUUAACGCCGCGAAUGCCUGAUUUUUAGCGGCGUUUAAUCUACAAACGCCACAAAAAGCCGCUAAAUCCCGCUUUUGGUGUAGUGUUCUCAAAUCUCUUCUCCUCUGCUUGAUACUCCAUUUCAUAAGCACGAGCCUUCAUCAACUUAUUCAUGAUGUUUUGCACCAUUGCCUCCAUAGUUGUGAUGACUUUUAGCUCAAGUAUCUCUGGGUUACUUACUAUUUUAUGGUAAACUUCAUCUAGUGAGUUCAUAAUGAUCCUUUGAACAUCUGCAUGACUACAUAAAAAAAAUUGUUAUCAGUAUAAGGGUGCUUUUGAAAUGUCAGUGAGCACUUGAGUUCAUAAAUAUUGUAUACCCCUGGACAGUUGACAGCUUCAUAUCGUCUUGAUUUGCUCUGACAUCACCGCUGCCUUCAGUCAGAUCAUUGUAUAUCUUGUCGUCUAGAAAACAAAGUUAUUAAGUAGGAAACAUAAAGGAUAUUAAUAUUUACAAUUAACAAGUAAAAAGCUGAGGAUUUUAUAAGAUCAUUUAUCAACUUGCAGCAAUUACCUGACAGAAGAAAGUUUUCAAUAUCAAACAACGGCAGUGACAGAAGCUCCUGUAGAGAAAGAGAAUCAGAUCUGAUCCAAAAAUAAGCAAUUUGAAUUUAAAAAAUAUAUACAGGCCAAUACUUACUGGAUCAACAUUAAGCCCCUUUUCUAGUGAGUCUACUUCAUGAUAACCCUGCAAAUAAGGAGAGAAGUACACAACAUUAAGCCCCUUUUCCUACUCAGGACUUUGGUGUGUGUUUGACUAAUAUUUCUAUGAUUGCGUUUAUCUGUAUUUGAUUCCAAUUCAUUGAAAUCAUCCAUGUAUUCCUUGAAUGAACGUACAAUCUAAGACCCAUAAGAAAAAGGACAUAAAAGGAUCAUAAGACAUAAAAAUCCGAAUAUUUAAACUACAAAUAUUUCUGUCUGAUAACUAAUGUUCAGGUAGAAUAAUCUGAGUUCAACAAUUGCUUACAAAGAAAGUAACAAACAUUUCUGGCCAAUAUAUAUAUAUAUAUAUAUGUAACCCAGAGAAUUAAUAAAAAGAAGUGAUAUUUUUGGUUGUGUCACUUUAUAGUUUGCANNNNNNNNNNNNNNNNNNNNNNNNNNNNNNNNNNNNNNNNNNNNNNNNNNNNNNNNNNNNNNNNNNNNNNNNNNNNNNNNNNNNNNNNNNNNNNNNNNNNUGACAAGUUGUACUUAUAUGACAGUAGGAAUAGCUGAGAAGGGUUAAAAUUUUCAUUGGUUAAAAGAGAAUCUAUUAUUACAACAGAGAAUUAAACUUGAUUUUUGCAUCAUUUAUUGAAAGGAUUGAAUAGAAAACUAGUCGACAAUACAUGAUUGCCUAUUCAAGUCAUAAUUUGCUCAACAAAAAUCAAAAUUCGGUUCUAAGUGAAAAAAAAGAACAGAACAGAACAUGAGAGCCAAAAGACAAGUUAUUCUGUGUACACCUCCAGAAGACUGUGAUAUAGACGCUUUUAUUGCAAUAGGAGUUUUAGUUUUAUUUAUUUAUUAUAUCAGGUUUUAUUAAGAGUUUUAAUUUUACUUAUUUUUUCUAUUAUAUUAGGUUUUUAUUUUCAAGUUAAGAAUUCUACUAGGAUUCUUUCCUUCGUUAUUAACAGACUAUAAAAUGCUGCCAAUAUGAAAUAAAGAAAUAAGCAAUUAUUCUAUCAAAAAGAAACGAUAUUAUAAGAGGGGGUUCAGUUAAGGAUGAAUCUGUCUUUUGAGUAAUCAUAGGUCGAUGUAAGAAUUCUUUCUCGUCUAGACCUGUGACUAGAUUGCAAAGGGAGGGGGACAAACAACAAAACCAACGGGGAACAACGGCAAAAUAGGUUCUUCUGCACCAUUUAUUAAGAGACUGACACAGACAGAAAUGGCGGAAAGAAUGGCUAAGGGGUUGUGUUAUAAUUGUGAGGAGUCCUAUUCCAUGGGACACAAAUGUAAAAGGUUAUUUUGGAUAGAAGUACCAAAUGUUGAAGGCAAGCAAGAUGAUGAUGAGGUAGAUGAUUUUGGAUAAGUUCUGAAGUUUAUUCUGAAUUUGAGCUUGAGGACAAGCUCAACUCCAAGGAGGGGAGUAAUGAUAUGGACGCUUUUAUUACAAUAGGAGUUUUAGUUUUAUUUAUUUAUUAUAUCAGGUUUUACUAAGAGUUUUAGUUUUACUUAUUUUUUCUACUAUAUUAGAUUUUUAUUUUCUUCAUACACUCUAAUUUAGGAUUUCUAUUUGGACUCUUUCCUUUGUUAUUAACUGUCAAUAAAAGGUUGCCAAUUGAAAUAAAGAGAUAAGCAGUUAUUCUAUAAAAAAGAAACGUUAUUUUUGAGUAACCAUUGGUCGAGGCAAGAAUUCUUUCUCAACUAGACCUGUGACUAGAUCCUACGCCAAGGCGCAUAAGAGACAUUUUCUAAAUAAACUUACCACAUCAACCCUAAAAAUUUAAUAAUGCAAGAACAAAUUACCAAGAAAGAAAAGUCAUGCCGCUACUACUAAGUUACAGAGUCAUGUUUUCUACAAUAAUUUUCAUGAUAAAAGUAAAAUCUAAAGCUCCAUUGAUUAAAAUACUAAUGACAAAUUGGGUGCUUCUACUCAAAAUGUUUACCUGUAGAUUGAUGUGAAUCUUCGCACCUCUGGUACAAUCAGGGGUUAGAGGAAAAUGGAACAUAAACUGUUCAUCUUCCAUUUGCACAAGAUCUUGAAUACUAACAGGAUUUGUAAGCUUUUGGUUCUUAAUAUCUUGUAGCAUUACUAAAACAGAAGCCAAAACUUUGUUUACUAUUUUUUCCACUAUGCUAAAGAACUUAACCUCUGAGAUUAAUUCCUCUGUUUGGUCCACAAUAGCCUCUCCCUGCAAUGCUUUUACUGAAAUAUAAAGAAAGCAGAUAACAAAUUUUAAUUUAAAUGAUUAAAACAAAUCAAGAUUAAUAUAUUUAUAUAUGUAAAAAAGAGUUAUUAAAACAUGCCUAGGAUGUCUGUCUCUGGUAUUCCUUAAGCAGUCUCCAGAACAUCAACAACAAAUGGCAUUAAUCAACAUAAAAAUCGUACCUAUGAGUGAGAUUACGUGAGGAAGGUCCUUGCAAAUCUCAUCAGCACACUCUAUGUUCCGGACUGGAUUUGUUGACUGGUUCAAAAAUGAAUCAAGCUCUUGAAAUGCAUUUUCGAUGCUAAGACUGGAACUGGCAUUAUCGACAAUCCUGGGCUGCAUCAAAUUUUUCAAUCGUUGCAGUAAGAGUUGAGGGUCACGAAGCCGAUUCAUCCCUUCCACUACUAUCUCUUUCUUUUCUUCCCAUUUCCUCUACAUUCAAAAAAGUUACUAAAAGCAAUUAGAAACAUAAAUGAACUUGCACCCUCAGUUUUUUAGCUCAAUAUUCUUGAGUAAAAACAAAAGCACGAUAAUCUGAUACUUGUAGCAAAAAGUUGAACACACUCCUGGUAUUUGGAAAAAAAGAGUCAGAAAUUGCAGGAUUGACAUGUUACGUUGUAGUGGGAGUCGGAUUGGCAUGGAUUAGUUUGCUCUUUUUUCUUUCUUUUUUUUCAAAAUACAAAUUAUAAAAAGAGAGGAAAAGUCUCACAGCAGCUUGAUAUCUGUCAUCACCAUCCAAUAGCAUACGCAUCAAUUCUCCCACCAGCUCGUUACAGUCCUGCAUAUAUAUGGAGAGUAACUAUUAUUAAACAAACCCUAAACGAUAAAGAAAAUAGCUUAAUUGCAAGAAAGGAAAGAAAAUGAAUAGGUACCUUGAUUCUUUUACGACUGCGCUUAUCUUUAUCUGAUUCCAAUUCUAUGAAAUUCCCCAUAUAUUCCUUGAACGACGUACAAUCUGAGAAUCAAGCAAAAUGAUAUAAAAAUAUCUUACAAUAUUCUGUAAGUUCAAAUUUUCCUUUAAAAGCAAAAUAUAUUUCUAAAAAAAGCAAAGUCAAACUCGAUUCUAUCCAGUAGACCAGAGAAAAAUAUAAACCAAACCAGCAAAGAGCGAAGAGAAAUGGAGCUUAACAUUGCUUACGAUUGCAGAGUAGAGACUUCUUAUGCCGUCGCAGAAAUCUUUUAUCAUUUUUUCCUCAAGACUUUUAUUUCUGAUGCAUUCGCACGAUCGUGCGAAUUUCGCUUUUCUGAAUUAUUCGAAAAAAUAUUAAAAAGAAAUUGAUUAAAUCCCAAAUUUUGAAAAAGUAGUCUAUUUUCCAUUUGUGUGUUCACAAUAAUCUACAUUUACUGUUGAAGUUAUCAAUAAUUCUCGUUUCUCCCGUUUGAGAAAAAUUAAGUUGAUACGUUUGCAGGGGUAUUGCCAAGGGUGUGUUAGCAAAUGUCUGUUCCUUUAAAGAAAAAAAAUUAAAUUACUCAACUCUCGAUAAUAAUAAAAAAUUCACUAAACUAUAAAAAGUUACAUUUUAAUCACUAAUGUUUUUUUAAUGAAAAAAUAAUAAAUAGAAAUUCAAGUAUCAACUAUUGAAAGACUCUAAAGGUUUUUGUCUCGUUAGAUAGCCGUAACCACCGAAUUAAGAGGUGCUUCAAAUAUCUGAAGGGAGGUCUGCCAAGAGAGACUAAUCUUUGCCAAUUGAUUUGCAAUUAAAUUACACUCCCUAGGAACAUACUUAAUUUUCCAUUGAUCUUCAAAACGUAAAAUACAUUUAACUCUUCUAAGCAAGGUAAUACCGGAGUCCACCGACUCCUCCAUAGACAAGGCACUAACCACCUCAAGGUUAUCUGUCUAAAUCUUGACUUUCUUGUAGCCCUUAUUUAAUAAAAUGAGAAUUCUGUCAAGAAUACCCCAAAGUUCUACCUCCAAAGGUGAACAUCUACCCAAAUAAUGAUUAAAGCCCAAAAUCCAAUUGUCAACCUAAUCACGAACCACCCACCCACGGAUGCAUUUUCGAAAGCUCUAGCCACUCCUCCAUCAAAAAAUAAAUAAACCCAAUUGCCUUUAUAAUGGGAAUGAAUUUCCGAAUUUGGUGAAUUAGGCUUGGCCUCAUUUAGAAAAGGUUCAAAUUGUUUGGCCCAAUUGAGAGAGACUUUUACAAUUUCAUAAGUCGUCCAGUUAAUGUUUUGGAAGAUGAAAAGAUUCAUGUUCUUCCAAAUUCUCCAAGCAAUUAAUCCAAAUAAGCUUGACCAAGUAAUUUCCUUAUCCUGCAUCUUAAAAUGGCAACAAAGGUUAGUGGAAAACCAACUUUGAAGGGAAUCAAAAAAAAAAAACCUGGAUUGCAUCUUAGGAAGGACUACAAGCUUCCAUGCUUCCUUAGCCGUCAAACAGUCUUGGAGUACAUGCAUAAUGUCCUUAGUAUUAUGACCACAUAAAGAGCACGCAGUGUUUUGCUCAAUUCCUCUCUUAACGCUCUCUAAAUUAGUAAGAAGUCUAUGUUUGAACACAAACCAAAGAAAAAGAUGAACUCUCUGUGGGCUUUGAUAUUUCCAAAUAGACUUUCAACUAUCAUCUUUAGGACUCCAAGAAUCUUCUUUUAAAGCCCAGUAAGCAUUACGAACAGAAAAAGACUCUCAAUCAGAUCGAGCCAAAUGAUCCCAUCCUCUCCACCAAUACAGUGAGAAGGGGGGAUACUUACUAUACACUUUAUCACGUCAUUAGGUAGCCAAAUACGAAGCAAAUUAACUUUCCAAGAACCAUCAAGAAGAACCCAAUCCCUCAAAGUGCUCUCCAAACCUAUGCUUGCAUGAGCUAGAACAUAAGAAAAAAAGAGGACCAACUUCUAGGAUCCAAGAAUCUUUCCAACAACGAAUUAGAGCCAUCACCUACAGACCACAUAAGAUUCUCACAAAAAAAUGGGUCACACCUUAGAAAGGGAACUCCAAAGAUGAGAGCAUUGAUUUUUGUGGAUAGAAUUUGGAAGCUGAUUCUUCCACCCAUAUUUCGAACAAAGGACACGAACUCAUAAAGCACCCUUUAUAAAGACUAGAUUGAACCCAAUCUUCAUAAGUAAGGAAUUAUUUUGGUCUUGGAGGUGCCGAAACCCGAGGCCCCCUCAAGACUUAGGUUGACAAAUGGACUCCCAACCUUCUAAAGUUGUUUUUGGAUGCCCAGCAGAACCACCCUAAAUGAACUAUCUUGCUAUCCUCUCUAUCUCAUCACACACCUUUCGAGAUUAACAAGGACUGCAUAAAGUAGUUUGAAAUAGCUAAGAGAACUGACUGGGCAAGAAUGAUAACUGAUUGGGCAAGAGUGACAUGUCCCGCAAAGGAGAGUUUCCUAACAUCCCAAUUUUGAGUUAUAGUGACUUGGUACAUUAACCCAAAAGAUAUUAUCUAAUUUGACCUUGACCUCUAGUUAAAAUAUUCAAUUUCAUCCUUUCGCAACCUUUUUUAACGAUAAUUCUAAAAAAAUUAUUUAAAUUUUCAAAAAAUUAUUUAUUUUCUAAAUAUAAAUAUUCACUAAAUUAUAUUUAUCUUUUACGGGUUUUUUAUGCAAAGGUUAAUGUUGUAGUAGCUAGGGAUGUUCAUAGUUCAGUUAAAACCGAAUCAAUCGUUUUAACCAGUCUAAUUCGAUUAAUCAACCAAUGGUCGAAUUUAGUUCAAUCGAAAGUCAGUUAAUGAUUUUUUAAAAUUUCAGUUAUCAGUUAAUUCAAUUCAAAAUCAAAUAAUUAAUCGAAAUAAAUAAUAUAUAUUAUAUAUAAUUAUUAACUUUAAAGAUUUAUGUAAUGUUUUUACAGUUUUAUUUAUUACUUUCAACCCCAUUUAAAAGCUUUUGAACUAUUAAAAGAAAUGACCAUUAGCACUAUAUUCUUAUUAUUUUUUAUACUUAUUUUAAUCAAAAGAUAAAAAAUAUAUAUUUCAAUUAACCGACCAAAUUAACCAAAAUUUUUCAAUUCGAUUAAUGUACUUGAAAAAACUUAAAUUCAGUUCAUGGUUAAAACUUUUUACAUUUCAAGUAAUUCGGUUCAAAUAUUAAUCGAACCAACCGUUUGAACAAUGCAAUCGAUACACUUAUUGAAUGCUUUUAACGGCACCGAUUAAAUUAUCCAACGAAUUCUACAAGAAUAAAUUUAGAAUUGAAUUGGAGUUUGUUCGUAUAUGAAAUACGCACAAAGUCCAUGUAAACCAUUCUUGGCAAAGCCAAUCCUUGAAUAUCCUCUUGUAGCACUUGAGCAGGUCCUGCUGGCGGCACACUAAAAAUUUGCAUGCCAACAUUCUGGUUUGAAGAAAGACAGAGCAUCAGCUAGCCGAUUCGCUUCCCUAUGCACAUUCUGAAUUGAAGUCAGCAAAGCCAAACCAUUCUUCCAAGUUGUAAAAACUCCUGAUUCAAACACAAAAGCAUCCCACUAAACCAUUAAAAGAUUCUAUUCCAACGUCAAAUAGAUUUCGACUUACUUGACCGCAAUAACAAGUAGCAAUUAGUCAACCCGUGGUUUCUUGGACAGCUUCAGUCUGCCUUCUCUUUUUCUUAGAGAAGCAAAAGCAAUUACUGAGAUUUAUAAAUAUAGACACGAACCAUAAAUGAAAAUUUGGGGUUGGAGUAUUAACAGUUCAUCCACUAUUUGCACAAUGUCCUUGAAAAGGAUUUGCCAAGUUCAAAAUGUCGUAGAUCUUAACAUAAGUCGUUGCUUGUUUCUUCUUGCCUUCUUGUGGUCACAAAAGACAUGUUCCUGGAUAUGCAAAGUAGACAAUUAAUAAUCAUUUAUCCGAAGAAAAGAAAUGAGAGAAAGGAGACCCAAAGACGAGAUGAUUGGUACCUGUCUGCAUAAAUUACGGCUAAUACACUGAUGUAAAUCAUAAAUGAAGCACUUUACCGUCCAUCAGUCCGGCUUCUAAGUUAAUAAUUUUGAUCUAAAUCCAACAUCUACUAUUGCCAUAGAUAUCGCACUUAAUACUAUCGGUAUAGUCUUCAGAACUGGAUUCUUCGAGGGAAAAAGAAAACUUGAUUCGCUUUGCUAAGAAAGCUUAUUUGGUCCCUAUCUGUUGAAAUCAGCCAAGAAAUUUGGGCAUGCACUUUGCAGCUUAAAAGACCAUACACUCUGAGCAUCAAUUAGGAAAAACAUUACGGUAUGUUUAUUGAUGAUAAAAAAAUGUCGAAGAGAGGGAAGAAACGACUGCAAACUAAACAUUACCUAGUAAAAUUUAAAGGUAAAUUUCAAAAGAAAAGAACUUUCCCUGAAUCAGACUGUUGAAUUGAGUGAGGAAGGGAUUUGUGAAUCUCAGCCCAAUCUCAGCUCAAACUGGUAUUUGUUGACUGGAAAAGCAUUUUUAGAUUUGUUAUCUGCUUCAAAAAUGCAUUUGUCAACAAAUCCAGUCCGAUCCAAGACACCGGAAUACUGAACUGCAUCUUGAAUUAAGGGUCUUGGGGGUGACUCAUCGCUUCAAGCACUAUCCACUAUCAACAUCCUUCCCCUAUAUAAUAUAAACUUCGCAAAAUAAAAUACUGAAACAAAUUAAAACAGAUUAUAAAAGAGAUUGUGGAUCUUGGUUCAUCGCUCCUUAUACUAUCUACUAUCUACAUCUCUGCAAAAAUAUAUUAAAACAAAAUAUAAAAGACAGUGGUUGGUUCAUUGCUUCUUUUACCAUCUACUAUCUAUUUCCUAAAAGUUACUAAAAAGAAUUAGUAACAGAAACAUCAGCAGAUAAGGAAAAACAACUACAAAAUUUGCAUCUGUAAAAGGAAACACCAAAAUGGUGAGAAUGAGACUCAAGACUAGAGUGAUUUUGCUUACGGACGGGCAAAAACGGAAAAGAACAAAAAUGACCUAAAGUGAAAAGAACUCCUCCACACAACUGAAUAGCAUUUAUGUUCUCCAAUAACAAAAUUUACACUUAUAUAAGGCAAAUGGCCGAAUGGCCUCAGGGUUUCAAAUAGGGUAGGCAUAGUGGUUUCACAGCCGCUAAUUCAAAAUAGCAGCAGCAUCCGCUACCACUAAAGAUCUCAAUAGCUGCGUCAACAUAUUUUCAGAUGUUCUUCGAACUAAGUAAAUAGAGAAAGAGUACAAGAUAAGGCGGAAUCCAAAGUAGAAAAUAAAAUGUAGAGGAGUAACGUAGAGGCUGAGAUAAGGUAAUUGAUACUGUAAGUAGAUAUAUUUUAGGGUUUCGAAAUUUACCUUGCAAAAGAGGAUUUGGAUCUGAGUAAUGGUGAGAUCCCUGCUUGGCGGCCAACGCUGAGAGAUGAGGGUAGGAAGGAGUUUCUUUUUAAAGAAAAUUUUACUAUUUUAGCCCCACAAAAAAAUUAUUGGGCUGUACUUGGGUUUUAGUUUUUGUUCCCUCUACUUUUGUUUUGUUGUCAUUCUUUUUUCCUUUUUUUUUUAUGAUAAUUUUUAUAUAAACUCGGUAGGAUAGUGUUAAGGUGUUCAUCACCCCAAAUAUGAUAUAGGUUUAAGUUGCAUUAGUCGCAUUACUGUUAAGAUUUGAUUUCAGUUUUAUUAACACAAUUAUAUUUUAAUUUAAUAUUCAAGUUUCAUUUAAUUCUUUCUCCUAAUCUUACAUCUUGAUUCUUACAUUUUUUUUAUUAACACGAUUCAAGCAAUUAUAAUUCAAAUGAAUCCAAUUUAAAAUACAAUUGAAUUUAAAAUCAAAAUAUAUUCAAACUUAGACUAAAUAAAUCUAAAAAGAACCUAAACUAAAAUUAAUGGACAUGAACCUAAACAGCAUUUUGCAAUAUGGUCCUUAUAUUCCAUUAAAAUGUAAUAAUGAGACAUGACAAUAUUGUAUCACAUCACCACUUGAGCUUAUUUAAUUUUUAAAAUUUUCAAAUGAAGAAUUGAUAUAAUCUCUUAUUGUCACAUCAUCACACAUUAACAGUAUUUAAGUUCAUGGACCAAAUUAGAAAGAAUUCAAUGACCAAGAUGAGACAUGAGUGCUUGAUAUAAUUUUUCUUUCAUAGGGCUCAAGCUUGAAGAAAAUAUGGGUACUUAACAUUAUCAAUUCGUAACAUUUUAAUCAUUGUGUCCAACCCAACUAAGUCUAGCAUGGCAGAAGUUAUAUUUUAAUUAUUUACACAUAAUCGUUUAUUAUUAUAUUGUGAAAUAUUAUAUUAAUGAUCAUAAAGUACCAAAGUAAUGGUUCUUUGUAAGUUAACUAAAGUUAACUUUAUUGACAUGACAUGUGAUUAUCUAGGUAUAUACUUCAUUAGUAAUUAUUUAACUUUAUAAAGUAAAAAGGAAAUUAUUAAAAAUAUAAAAAAUUAUAAAAAUGAUUUAAGCCCAAUAAACCAUUAAACUUACCACCAAACCAUUAAACUUACCACUAAAGAUAAGUUAAUUUACACUUUACCACCAAACCAUUAAACUUACUUUAAUAUAAAUUGAACAAAAAUAAUAUUUAAGCCCAAUGAACAAAGAUAGGCCUAGGAACAAAAAUAAAUGAUUUUCCCAAUAGAAGGAUUUGAACCUAAAACUUCCAACAAACAACUAAAAUACUUAACCACUAAAACAUAUAUUACUUUAUAAUAAAUUUUAACAAAUCAAAAUUUUAAAACUUAGAGCAUUAUAUGGGAAAUUCACCGCUAUGUAUGUACUAUAUUGUGAUAAUUCUUUAAUACCUUAAGGGUCAAGAUCGUAUCACCAGCUCAAAUACCCUAGGGUACAAGCAUAUUCUGGUGUGGUUGGUGAGGUCGAUGCAUUUAUGCUUGAUUAGUACUUCAGUACAUCUACUUCUUUUUCCUCCUCUUCUCCAUCAUGAAAUCAAUUUAAUUUCUUAGAAAAGUUUUGGAUCAAUUUUCGGAUUCCAAUCGAUAUCAUCAAUAUACAUAUCAGUUGCAUAACUUGACAACUUAUCCUUGUAAGGAAAAUCAUAAUAAUUUUCCCAGAACCUCUGUUUAGCUUCCUGAAAAGCUUUUAAAUUAGUCGAAUCAUCUCAUUCGAAUACUUUAUAAGCUUUAUACAAAGUAUUCUUCGCAUCAAUAAAUAUUUUCCAUGACAUUGCACCCACUUUCAUGCAAAAUUUUUAAAACGAAUAAAUCGAUUAAGAUUUUAAUUAUUAAACCCAUAAGACCAUAACCUAUUUACAAACCCAAACCCAAACCCAAAGUAAACAUUAAAUCCAAAUUCCCAUUAAAACUCGUUAUUCUUACAAAAUUAUAGCCUAUUAAAACUUUAAAAUCCAAUACCUUUUCUGAGUCAUGCUAUUCCAUAAGUGCAGAGGUAACCCAUGAACUUCAAGCCAAGUUGCCCUCCGCUCAGGAAGGAAAUCAACUAACCUACAUCAUCUGAUUGACAGCACAAGUUAAUUGAAUUACCAAGAAUCAAUAUCAAUAACUUACAUAAAAGAAUAGAGAUUAAAUAUAAGAUGAAAUCAACCAAGCCAAGCUGGCAAUGUCUAUUCAUUUACCCCAUUUCAAUCCUACAAUAGUCAAGAUUUGACUAAACUUUGCAACCUAUACAAGUCUUUUUGGGAUUUUGACAAAAUAUAAAUAAAAGCCCCGAGAAGAUACUUAAAACAUUCACUCAUCCAUGGCAACUGCUUGAAAGAAUUGGGGUUGUCAUCUAGCUCAUAAUCAAAUACAAGAUCAAUACCGAAUUCUAGCACAGAUAAAUCUGAAAGAACCCGAAGAGUAAUAUGAUCACCGGCUUCUAGUUCACCACCCCUAAAGUCCCAACAAGUAAACCAGUAUAAGGUAUUCUUGGUUCCAAGAAUUCCUGUGAAAUGUUUGGAGUAGGUCCACUUUGUACCUUUAGUCUCGUUCACAAUUUCAAGGAAUGGUAAAAAUUCAUUUGUAUUAUCAUUCUUGGCAGAAAAAAUGAUAAUCGAAUUUAAGAAGCAACUAAUCUUUCGACUAGAGUUUGGGGGCACUGAUAAUGAAACCUCAGUCUUGCCAGCUUGAUUGCCAAAGUAGUGGCCAUAGUAAUCAAAUGGCAUUGGAUCAAAUGUUGUAAUUAUGCCAUAAUCGUAGAGUACCUGUAGCAUUGGGUUAAGGAAUUAGUUAUUAAAAAUAUAUAGUAUAUAAAGAAAUUUUGAAACUUGGAACUCGUAAGGAACCUGUGGGGAAGAAACCACUUUUGAUUCUUCUAUAUAACUACAAAGUUGCACUUUAACAUUUCCAUAAGAUUCCAAAUUGAGUAAGUUUUUAGUUAGGUCCAUCUUGAUAUUUCUUGGGGAAACUUCAUCUCCUAAAAUGUGUACAAUAAUGUGUUAUUUAUCAAUUUUAAUGAUCAUCAACAUAAUAUGCCUAUUAUAAUACCAAAGUAUUAAUUUUGACAUGAAAAAAAACGUUGAGUAAAGUUUUUAUCAGACACCCAUAUAAUAUGGGUUUAAACUGUGUAUGAAAAAAAAUAUCAAACAACUAAUUUUAUGUAUUAUGACUAAAAUAUGUUAUAAGACUUGUUAGAAAUAACCAAUUAUACACUUUUUUGAAAAAAAAAAUCAAUUAUAUCUGUAUCUUUUAUUUUUAUAUAAAAUAUCAACUUUAAAAAUACCACUUUUAACUUCAUCCAUUAUUUUAGUUUCCACUUAGGUGAUAGAUUAAUCAUCUAUCAAACAAUUAACUUAUUUUGAUUAGACCUCAAUUGCAACAUAAUUUUAUAAUUAUUAUUUUAUUAUUAAGCUAAAUUUCUCUCAGAAUCUAUUAAACUUAAGUUAUAUUUUUAUUGUAUUGGAAAGCCUUUUAGAGAAACAUAUAUCAAUUUUUGAAUUUUUUUUAUUGACAUCUAAAAGGAAACAUAUGUUCAAACAAUCUAAAGGGGGCAUUAAAAUAAAUAUAAUAGGAUGUAUUAACUAAAAUACAAUCUUACCGUCGAAAACACAAUUAGAUAUUCAUAUAAUUCAUUAUUUCAAUAAGGAUAUAUCUUUUUAGCCAUGUGUUUUACUCAUUAAUGUUAAUAGUGCAUUGGGUAAUAUGCCAUAAACAUAAUUAUUUGAAAUCUACUCAUACCUGUAGAUAAAUAUGAAAAACCAUAUUCAUAUCUAAUGUUGUGUUCGGAUUCAUAGGUAACGCCAAAUUUUUUUAUGCGGAGAUGAAUAGGCACUAUCAUGCAACUCACAAGGUCACCACCUUCAAACUGACAAUCCGUUACUGGCCAAUGGAUCAACCACAACAUUGUGUUAUCGUUAGUCUUAGGAAUUCCAAAAAAAUAUAUAUGUAUUUAGCAUAAAAAAUAAAAGGAUCAUACAUUACCCAAAUAGUGAAAAUGGAUCCAAAUUCAAUCAAAGUCCUCUAAUUAAUUUGUCCAAAUCAACAUUGAUUCAGAAUUUAGAAUUUUCUUUUCAUUUGAAAAAUUAAACUCAAUAAUUGGUAGACUUAAAUAAAAUUCGGUGUCUACACUACUCAAUAAUUAUCAGCUAACAAAGUGAUGAAUUCAACUACAGUAAAUUUGGUUAACAUCAGUUUUGGAUUUCAUUCAUGGACUCAUUAAGUUAAUAAUAAUCAUAAUAAUUAAAGUAAGAAAGUGAUGAACAUUUGCUUUAACUAAUAAAUUUAGCAAAUUAAAUAUACAUACCUCUUAAAGUUCACAAGGAAGUAAAGGCUGCAAGGAAGUAGAGGCUGCAAGUUCCUGGGAUUGCUUCACGAUUGAAUUUCCAGCAGUUUAUCAAUUGAUCAAAAAGUCUACUUUCUGCUGCAGUUGACUAAGAAAACAUUAUACAGGGUCAUCUAUACAGAGAUGAGCCAAGCAACAAUAAGGUAAAUAACAUAUAUAAAGAGAAAGCAGCAGUUUAAAAUAUACAAUAUGCAUAUAAUUUUUUAUGACAAAACAUGCAGACAUAAAUUUUAAAUUUCAAAAUAUACAUAUAUUCAUACCUAACACUAAUCUCAUUUAACUCGAAUUCAUACCCAACACUCAUCUCAUUUAACUCGAAUAACAUAGAUGGCAAAUACGUCAGUAAGACUAACCAAAACCAAAACAUGUAAAGGGAUAGUGAAAGUGAAUCUAUUGAGCUCUCCCCUAAGCCAAUGUUACAAAAAUGAAUUGCCAUUGAUCCAAACCCAAAAUGCACAAAAAAAAAUGGGAAAGGGGAAGUCCAUCCAUACCAGAUUUAUGAGUUCUCCUCUCCCUUUUUUCCUUUGUAUUUUCUCUUUCGAUAUUAUAGCUUUCGUUUUCUCCUCUCUGAUUCUGUUUCUGUUUGUGUUCUGCCUUACAGAAAAUGAUAAGUAAAAACACGCGGAACAGAAAUGGCGUCGUUUUGCCAAAAUUUUAAGACACCAUUCCGGCGUUUGUUAGGAAAACGCCACUAUUUCUUGUAUAUUUCCGACGUUUCCAAAAAACGCCACUACAAAUUGAAGUUAUAAUCUGAAACGACGCCGUUUAAUAAAGCUUUAAUGCAUAUUUCAAACUAUUUUUUAACUUAUUAAACUUAAUUCUAUUUAAAAUAAUAUUUAAAUGACAAAAACAUUAAUAUAAUUGAUAUCAAUUGGUACUUUAAUUUGAUUUUUUAAAACAUUAUUUAAAGAAAUUAAUCUAAACUAACCUAAUUAAAAUCCUUAUCCGACGGCGUGAAACCCUAAACCAUAAAUUCUAAACCACUAACCCUUAGCCCGUAACUCGUAAAACUUAAACCCCUAACCCUAUAUCCCAAACCUUAAAUCCAUAUAUACCCCCUAAUCCUUAAAAUAGCACGGCCAUCAGAAAUAAUCCCUAAAUCUUUAAUAAUCAUAUAUAAAAUAGUUAUAAUUGAUAAAACAAUAAUUAAUAGUAAUAAAAACUUUUAAUAAUUUGUAAUAUUACCUUUAUAAUAUUUAUUUUUUUGUAUAAAGUUUGAAAUUUAUAAUAUUUAAUUUUAUUGAUAAAUAAAUAAAUUUAAACUAUAUACUCAUAAUUUCAAUAUAUUAAAUUUAUUAUAUAUUAUAUAUUUUAGAAAUAUAUAUAUAAGAACAUAUUUGAUAAAACUAAAUUAAUCUAAUAACUUAAAACUCUAACAUAACCGUUGAAACCCCUAAAACCCGGGCCCAAAUCCAUAANNNNNNNNNNNNNNNNNNNNNNNNNNNNNNNNNNNNNNNNNNNNNNNNNNNNNNNNNNNNNNNNNNNNNNNNNNNNNNNNNNNNNNNNNNNNNNNNNNNNNNNNNNNNNNNNNNNNNNNNNNNNNNNNNNNNNNNNNNNNNNNNNNNNNNNNNNNNNNNNNNNNNNNNNNNNNNNNNNNNNNNNNNNNNNNNNNNNNNNNNNNNNNNNNNNNNNNNNNNNNNNNNNNNNNNNNNNNNNNNNNNNNNNNNNNNNNNNNNNNNNNNNNNNNNNNNNNNNNNNNNNNNNNNNNNNNNNNNNNNNNNNNNNNNACCGUUGAAAUGCGCACAAAAUCUCAAAUCCCAAAACCUCUAACCCCUAAAUUAACCUUAAAUCCCCAAUUACCUUAAAUCUAUACCCCGUACUCAUUAAAAUACCGUCCAUAAAAAAAAUUCCCUAAAUCUUUAAUAUAUAUAUAUAAUCAUAAUUAAAUUAAAUAUAGUCAGUAAUUAUUGUUAAAAUAUAUAUAAAUUAGUCGAACAAUAUAUACGUACUACCAAAAUUAAUUUAUUACUCUUAUAAAAAGUUAAUUCUAUUUUUAAUUUACUCUUUACAUUAAUACAACAAUUUAAGUUUUACUAUAUUUUAUUUUAUUCAUAAUUUAAUAUAUUUUCUCUCGUAAAGUAGUUUAAAUCAACUGUUAUAAAUAGUUAGCUGUUACAUAUAUACGACUUCUCUUUAAUAAAAACUUUUUUUAUUAAUCAAUAUUAUUUGUUAAUUAUAAUUUAAAUGUAAAUUGUCCCACUAUAUAUAUAUAUAAUAAAUAGAACAAAAUAUUAAUUAUUUCAACUUAUAAGAUUUUUGUUACUAUUAGCGGCGCUUCGGCAAAAACGCCGCUAAAGGUUAAUACAUUCGCGGCGCUUAGAUACAAACGCCGCUGAAUACAGGAGAAUUAGCGGCGCAUAUAUAAAAACGCCGCUAAAAACCUGAGCAUUAGCGGCGCAUAGGCGAAAACGCCGCUAUAGACCCAGAGCAUUAGCGGCGCUUAGACGAAAACGCCGCUAAAGACUCGGAGCAUUAGCGGCACUUAGACGAAAGCGCCGCUAAAGACUCGGAGCAUUAGCGGCGCUUAGACAAAAACGCCGCUAUAGACCCGAGCAUUAGCGGCGCUUAGACAAAGACGCUGCUAUAGACCCGAGCAUUAGCGGCGCUUAGAUAAAAACGCCGCUAAAUGUUUAAAAAAUCGCAAAAAACGACGCCGUUCGUCUUAGGUUUUUUGUGGCGCUUUAUAUAAAACGCUGUUAAUUCCUAUUUUUAGCGGCGCUUCCGUAUAAACGCCGCUGAUGCUCUACCUUUAGCGGCGCUUUGGCUAAAUCGCCGCUAAUGCUCUAUUUUUUGUGGCGCUUUUGUUCCAAACGCCGCAAAAAGUACCGCUAAAAGCCUAUUCUGGUGUAGUGGUUUAUUUAUAAGAGUUCUCUUAAAUAUUUAUGUCAAAUCCAAAUUGUUGUGAAUUGGUAGCCAGGAUGGAAAUCAAUUCUUUUAACAUUUCAAGGAGUUUUGUCCAUAAGUGAAAGUCUUUGGUAAAAGUAUUAGAUAAUAAGUAAUUGAUAAAAAUUUUCAUUCUAAAGGCAACUAGCAAAGAGCUGUUUAAUAUUUUUCAACAUUCAUGAAGGGUUUUUAUUUACUUUUAUUGAACGGAAUAGAUUUUUUUUUCCUAAUAAAUGAACCACGAGAAGAAAAAUGUUUUCCAAGGAAUAUUCUUACCAUAUCUAUUUAAUAUGUAAUUCGCAACUUGUUCUUGAAAGGAAAACCAUAAUAAUUUCCCCAGAAUUUCUAUUUGAAAAUUUGGAAAUCUUUUAAAUCAACCGAAUCAUCUCACUCGAAUACUUUAUCAGCUUUAUACAAAUUAUUCUUUGCAUCAAUAAAUAUUGUUCAUGACCUUGCACCCACUUUCAUGCAGAAUUAUUUCUCCCAUGCAGGAAAUGGUCUCCAUGAAUUUUUGACGUGAUAUCUAUUUUGAUGAUAUGACAUGGUUUCUUUUGAUCCAAAAAAGAUGAUGAAUGACAUGAAAUUGAACUAUGAUUUUAAAGAAGGGUCUUGAGUUUAUAUAAGAUUAUAUAGGCGGUAAUUCAAUUUCCCUUUCCUUGUUGGAAAAGGAAUUCCAUUUUGACUUUAAUUGUAAUUUUUAAGUUGUUGUUUUUUUAUUGUUAAUUAUUUAAAAAAUAAUCGCAUUUUAACUUGCAAACUUAAAUCUUAAACUAUUAUCUUUAUGUUUACUUUUUAAUGAUAAUUAACAAAAAUAUUUGGUUUUAAAAUUUUAAUACAAUCAAUGAAACACAAUUCACACACAUGAAUGAUAAAAUUUGACGUGAUUAAAUAAAUAUUGAAUUUUGUUAUAUUUUUAAUAAUAAAUAUAGGUAAAAUGGUAAUAAAUUGGGAUUUUAAUGUCAUUUAAAACGGGUCAACUAAAUUUUAGAUUAGAUAUUCAAUAUUAAUAAUUAAUAUAUAUUAAUUGAAUUAUAAAUGAGUUUAGAAAUUCAAAAUUGUAAAAAUUAAUAUAUAUAUAUAUAUAUAUAUAUAUAUUGAAUUAAAUGACUACCAUACAUAAUCUUAUUCAAAUAAUAAUAAUGAAAAAUAAAACUGAGUGUUUAAGACAAUUUCGUUGUAUUUGUUUGUUCUAUGAUCCAACUAUGGUAGGAAAGCGUGAUGUAGGUUCAUCGUACUCCCAUCCAGUGGCUUUAAUUUGCUCUAAUGGAAUCGAAAACGAAUCAAUCCUUUUAACUUCUUCUUUUUCUUCUUCUUCAUCAUCGGAAAUCGACUUUAUUUCCAAAAAAAGUUUUGGGUCGAUUUUGGAGUUCCAAUCAAUAUCAUCGAUAUACAUAUCUGCUGCAUUACUUGGUAACUUAUUUGUGCAAGGAAAACGAUGAUAAUAUUCCCAGAAUCUCUGUUUGGCUUCCUGGAAAGCUUUUAAACCAGCUGAAUCAUCCCAUUCGAAUACUUUAUCGGUUUUGAACAAAUUAUUCUUUGAUUCAACAAAUCUUUUCCAUGGCAUUGCACCCACUUUUAUGCAGAAUUUUUUCUCCCAUGCAGGUAAUGGUUCCCAUGAAUUACCGUUAUCAUUUUGUUUGGGACGAGUAAAUUUCGAACUGUAGUACCUUUCUCGGCAAUUAUGAUAUCUUCUUUGAUAGUAUGACAUGAUUUCUUGUAAUCCAAACAAAUAAAUGAAUUGAAAUUGCUAAUGACAUGAAUUUACAGUGAGGAGACUUGUUGGGUUUAUAUAAUAUUAUUAGAGUCGCUGGUGACUCAAUCCUUUUCCUUGUUAGAAAAGGAAUUCCAAUUUCAGUUUAAUUAUGAUUUCUAUUUUUUAAAUAUUUGUAUAAUAAAAUUAUUAAAAAAUAACUAUAUCUGUAUUGAUAAUAUUUUCUUAUUAAAUGGGUUUUAUGAGUUAAAUAACAAUCAAACCAAGAUUGGGAGAUUGAACUGCAUCAGGUCUUGGGGGUGAUCCAUCUCUUCAACCACUAUCCACCAUCUACAUCCUUCCCCUAUAUAAACUCUGCAAAAUAUAUACAUAUAUAGAGAGAGAGAGGAACAAACAAAUUAUAACCAUAGCAAAAAAAUCAAAACUAAAAUAUAACCAUUUUUCUUAUAAGGUGAAAAGAAAUAAUGGGCUGAGUACUUGAAAGAACUAACGACCUAAGUUUAUAAAUUAUUAUUUAGUACAAUGAUUCGAAUCCAAUUGCUUUUAAGAAAAAUGAAUACUCGACCAAUAUAUUACAAUAUGAGUUGUUAUUAUGAUUUAAUGUAACAUUCAAUCAAUAAAAUAUAACCAAUUUCUGAACGCUACCUAACAAUAUUUUUUUUGCCAAAGGGAAAGCAGAAAAAUUAUAUAUUUUUUAUAUUUUUAUUUUUUCACCCUUUUAAUUUUCUUUUCAUUCUACCAACUAAAGUUUUAAUGAAAAACAUGGAACUUGACUAUGCAUAUAACGUACCUAUCUUGUAGAACCAUACCUCCUAUAUCCGCAAUUUCUUUUAAAGCAUUAAUUCCUCCAUCUUUGUACCAUGUUGGUUUCGGACUAGAUGUUUUGUUCAUGUUGAGUAAAUGCAUCUGCAUAACUCCCCGUCUGGUUCUUGACUUGGCUCGACUCGGAUCCACAUCAUAGAAAAUUGGUAAAACAAUGUGUUUAGAAGAUUUCUUCUGCUCCAAUAUCAUUACAAGUUCGUUAAGACACCAUGUGGAUGCAGCAUAAUUCUUCGAGAAAAAACGAUAGAAAUUUUGGAGUGGUGUAGUAUUGCUUUUUCAAUUUCAUCUUUUAUGUUAUUCCCUCUCUCGAUUUCCUCAUCAUCUCUAAAUGUUUGAAUUCCUAAGUGCACCAAAGCUGUGUAAAGAUGAUCCGUGAAACUUUUGCGCGUAUCUUCACCUCUAAAACUCAAGAAUACAUGAUAAGUACCUCGCGAGAUAUCUGAUACCGCCAUUGAAGAAGAAAAUGAAGUCGUCCUGUAUUGUUAUGUGAAGAAAUCUAGGUAAACUAGAGAAAAUCAAUGAAGAAAUAUGUUUUCAAUCUGAAUUUAGUCUAUUACUUAGUCCAAUACAAAGCUAGACGUGUAUAUUUAUAGGUACAAUUAACUGCCUUCCUUAACAAAUUAGCUAACAACUCAGCUAACUCUAACUGCCUCUCUAACAGUCUUAUUAUCUUUAACACCUAUGUAGGAAUGAAGCAUUAAUAACCGGUUGAUUUCAGAAACAGAAUUGGUGGUUAAAUGGACUAAAUCACCAGUUUUUAUUUGACUUCUUGUUAUUAUUUAAAGAAAAUAAAUCUAAAAAAAUUAAAAUUAAAUAAAAUAAUAAAUAUUGACGUAUAUUGCACAUUAAAGUAAAUUUGAAAAAGAGAAAUGAGAGGGACAUAAGAGGGGGAGAAUAAUUCCCAAGUACUUGGUGUGGAAAAUAGAGGUACUAUAGAAAACGUUUCGAUAACUUUCCAUUUGGAGUCAUGCUUACGGUCUUAGUCUUUAGACCAUUGAGCUUGUUAAUAUUAUCUGAAUAGAGUUUAUUUGAAUAAAUUAUCAAAUUCAGACUUUAAAUAAUGAUUUAUAUCAAAUCAAAGCUGGCCCUAAAUUAGCAAAUUACGAGGGGCUUCAACAUAAUAAAUUCAUGGGCUAACCAAUUUCAGUGCAAUAGAAGUAGUGAAGACGAUGGGAUAAGGCUAAGAUUGACAUGCGAUGUGAAAAAGCAGGUAAGAGCAGUAGACUAUGAAAAGUCAUUAUAUAUUAUAAACAUUUCUUACGUUACAUUUCAACCACCUCUAUAAUUCCACCAGUGUCUGGUACUACUCGCUCGAGUGCUAACACUCUCCUCGUUACGGCCCUCCAACUUUUUCGUCCACAAUAUUUUAAGAAAAACAUAAUUCAAAUAAUAUUUUUUGGUAUCAUUCAUAUUUGUUUUAUAGUUUAUACUCAAGGUUUGUAAUUAUUUUUAAAAUUCGGACCUACAUUUCUCUUAAAAGUACAAUACCUUAAUUAUUCAAAUAAUAAUUUUAACAGAAAGGAUGAGCACCAAAUGGUGGAUAAAUACUAACUAUUAUCUUUAUGUUUACUUUUUGAUGAUAAUUAACAAAAUUAUUUGGUUUUAAAAUUUUAAUACAAUCAAUGAAACACAAUUCACAUACAUGAAUGAUGAAAUUUGAUGUGAUUAAAUAAAUAUUAAAUUUUGUUAUAUUUUUAAUAAUGGAUAUAAGUAAAAUGGUAAUAAACCGGCAUUUUAAUGUCAUUUAAAACAUGUCAAAUAAUUAUUAAAUUAGAUAUUCAAUAUUAAUAAUCAAUAUAUAUUAAUUGAGUUAGACAUUAUAAUUAGUCAUGACUGUCGAAAUUCAAAAUUGUAAAAAUUAAUAUAUAUUGAAUUAAAUGUCUACCAUACAUAAUCUUAUUCAAAUAAUAAUAAUGAAAAAAAAAAAAAGAGUAUUUAAGACAAUUUUGUUGUAUUUGUUUGUUCUAUGAUCCAACUAUGGUAGGUAAGCGUGAUGGAGGCUCAUCAUACUCCCAUCCAGUGGCUUUAAUUUGCUCUAAGGGAAUCGAAAACGAAUCAAUUCUUUUAGCUUCUUCUUCUUCCUCUUCAUCAUCAGAAAUCGACUUUAUUUCCAAAAAAAGUUUUGGGUCGAUUUUGGAGUUCCAAUCAAUAUCAUCUAUAUACAUAUCUGCUGCAUUACUUGUCAACUUAUUUGUGCAAGGAAAACGAUGAUAAUAUUCCCAGAGUCUCUGUUUGGCUUCUUGGAAAGCUUUUAAACCAGCUGAGUCAUCCCAUUCGAAUAGUUUAUCGGUUUUGAACAAAUUAUUGUUUGAUUCAACAAAUCUUUUUCAUGGCAUUGCACCCACUUUUAUGCAGAAUUUUUUCUCCCAUGCAAGUGUUGACACCAUUUUUUGGAUGAAAAACGGGGUCGACUUGGGUUUUGAAAACGAAAACGGGAGUCGCCACCAAUCUUUUUGGAUGAGGUGUGAUUGAGUCACAUCGUAAAAGUGGUUGUUUUUAAUAAACAAUUUAAUUUUAUUAAAACAACGAGUUUGGUCCACGAAAUUCAGAAGAAUGGGUUCGGGAGUCAGUUACGUACGAGGAAGGAUUAGCACCCUCGUAACACCCAAAAAUUGGUACCUAGUUGAUUAGUUAAUGUCUUAAUAUCGAAAAUUGAAAACUUUGAAGAAAUUUAAAAAUACGAUCCUUAUAUUAAAAUGUUGAAAAUUUUCGGAAAAUGGGGGCAUAUUUCACGUUAAUCGAGGAAGAGAAUCAUAUUCAGUAAGUUAGGACACAAUGUCUCGAAUUCCCGAUGCUCGAAUGAAUGCUGGAAAUUUAAAAGGUAUUUAGCUAUCUCGGAUUUAAAAAAGGGAUCACGACCAGUAAGUUAGGACACUAUCUUUUUUAUUCCCGAGAUCAUUUAAAACUUGAGUUUGAAAAGAUUCACGUAUUUAGAUUUAUUGUGAAAAUCGAAACCCAGUAAGUUAGGGUACGACUUUCUCAAAUCUAAACACGAAAUUUUGCUUAUUUUAAAAAUCAUAAUUUAUGCAUCUAAUAAAAUUAAUCUAACAUGAAAUAGUAGAAAUGAAACUCGAUAUUAAUACACGUGUUUAUAUAUAUGUUACAUAUAGACAAAAGAGAUAUGAAUGUGUAUAUUAUAAAACAAUGUAAGUAUGUAUAUACAUGUGUAUGUAUAGGAAGAAUAUAUAUGUGAAAUAUAUAAAAAAAUAAAAUAAGAUAAAAAUAUAAAAAAUAUAUUUCAAUAUAUAUAUAUAUAUAUGAGUAUGAACAUACAUAUUUGUGAGAGAAAAAAAGUAUAUAGAUAUACCUAUAUAUAUAUAUAAAAGAGUAUUCAUGUAUAUAUUAAAUAAGUUUAAUAUAUAUAUAUAUGUAUACGUAUAUAUAUAUGUAAGUAAUUAUAUAUUUAUAAUAUAAUAUGUCACAUAUAUCCAAAAUUUAUAUAAGUAAAUAUGAGUGGAAAUAUAAUGAUAAUAAUAAUAACAUUAAUGAUAUGAUGAUAGUAGUAAUAAGAUUAAAAUAAUUAAUUUAAUAAUAAAAUAGCUAAAAAAAACAAAAGCAGUUUCAAAUUGAAAAUAAACUAAAUCUCAGGGGCGAAAUCAAAACUGAAAAACAAAGAAAUGGAUUAAAAUGUGACGCGCGCGAAAAGAAAUAGGACCAAACGGGGAAAUAAACCAAUCCCUGGACACGUGUCCACUUUCCAGCGCGUCAGUGAGCCAGGGACCCGAUUGAAGACGAAAUAAAAUUUUGGGGCCAAAUUAAAAAAUAAAUAACAAGCAAAAGGGCUAAAUUAGAACAAAUCAAUAAUGAGGAGGGACCAAGAGCACAAAUAGCCCCUUGAUCAGAAACGCGCGGAUCCCCUAGGCGGGUCGGGUCUACGCGCGGAUCCCCCACUAAAACGGCGCCGUUUUGGAAUUUUGAAGGGCUGGGCAAAACGGUGCGUUUUGCCAGCCUAUAUAAAUCAAAAAAAUUUUUAAAAAAAUCAUUUUUAAUCAUUCUAAAAAAAACUCUCUCUCUCUCUCAAAAACCUCUCCCCAGAAACCGACGAAAGGCUCCGGCGCACCUCCGCCGUAGACGGCAGCCGGAGGUGCAAAAUGGAACCUUUCUUAGCCCUACUUGAAGCCCGUUCCCCUUAGAACCUGGAUUCAAAGCCGAAUCCUUUAAAAGUCGAGUCAAAAUCAAAAAGAAGAGAAGGAAUCCUUUAAAAGCCGAACCUCGAUGCCUCUUCUUAGGAAUAAACGCGUCCAACACUUUGCCAUGGAACUCAGAGAUUUUCCAUGGUCCCUUCCAAUGAAAACAAGAAGGAAGAUUAGAAACAUAAACUGAAAUCACCAUUUUCUCCAAGGAUUUAGCCUAGUAAUAGUUAACAGUAACUCCACGGAUCUGAUUAAAAGCACAAGUUAAGUGAAUUACCAAGAAUAAUGUUCUUCAAUACUAUUCCAAAUUCAAUUUUGGAACUUCUGUUAUCAUAGCUUUCAACUGUUUGAAACUCUGAUGGCAUUAUUCAAUCGCACAUAACUAACAUUUUCUGUAGCAACUUCGUCAUGGUAGAGCUAUCAUCGACAAGCCUGAACAAAUCAUCUAUAGUAUACAAUAAAUCCUAGAAAACUACACACUUCUAUAUUAUUUCCCAGAGAUUCCCUAAUUCACAUUUAUCAGGAGUUCAUUUGAAAUAACUCAAAUAUCUUNNNNNNNNNNNNNNNNNNNNNNNNNNNNNNNNNNNNNNNNNNNNNNNNNNNNNNNNNNNNNNNNNNNNNNNNNNNNNNNNNNNNNNNNNNNNNNNNNNNNUUCACAUUUAUUGAUCUUCACAAAUAAUUAUUUCUUUCGUAAUGUCUGUAACACUGUAACACUGUUUCUCCAAAACUAAUCGUGUUCAAUUUUUUUUUCUUCACAUGAAUUGAGUAUCUUUAAUUAUCUAACAACAACUCUGAUAUGAUACAGCUAGAAACUUUUGUCUAUUAAAUAUAGAGUAAACUACACCUAUGGUCACUUUUGUUUACUUUAGGUUACAUUUUGGUAACUUAUGUUUAAAAUAUUACGUUUUAGUCACUUACGUUAUCGUGUUGUAACAUUUUAAUCAUUGAGCCGUUAAUUGCCAUUAAUGGUGUAAUGGUAAGCUGACAUGGCACGUUAAAUCAUCAUUUCAAACAACAAUUUUAGGUUAAAUCAUACAACCGAUCCCCAUAUUUUUUUUAUUUUGGGCAAUUUAAUUUUUUUUGUUUAAUAUUCUUUAAAAUUUACUCUCUCUUUUUUCUCUUUAUUUUCCAUUAUCUUCUGUUUCUCCUUCUAUUUUCCUACCUUCUCCAUGUCUUUUAACAUAUUAAGAAGUCGAAUUGGCAGUGAAGAAAGAAGUAGAAAGUCGAAAGCCAUCAUUGCCUAUAAUCAAAACCCAUAAACCAGUUCGACUUUCUGAUAUGUUAAAAGAAAUGGAGAAUGUAGGAAAACAGAGGGGGAAGCAGAAGAAAAUGGAAAAUAAAGAAAAAAAAGAAAGUUAAAAGAACAUAAAAGAAAAAAUUUAAAUUGCUCAAAAUGAAAAAAAUAUAAGGACCAAUUGUAUAAUUUAACCUAAAUUUUUGUUUGAAAUGAUUAUUUAACGUGCCACGUCAGCUUACCGUUACAUUGUUAACAGCAAUUAAUGGCUUAAUGACUAAAAUGUCACAACAUGAAAAUGUAAGUGACUAAAACGUAACAUUUCAAAUAUAAGUGACUAAAAUGUAAACUGAAGUAAACAAAAGUGACCAUGGAUAUAGUUUUCCCUUAAAUAUAUAAAGUGACCAUGCAAUUGAUAAUCAUAUACAAUAAUCAACAUUUGACUAAACUUUGCAACCUAUACAAGUCUUUUUGGGAUUUCGACGAAAUAUAAACAAAAAUCCCGAGAAGAUACUUAAAACAUUUACUCAUCCAUGGCAAUUGAUUGAAAAUAUUUGGGUUGUUGUCUAGCUCAUAAUCGUAUACAAGGUCAAUACCAAAUUCUAGCACAGAUAAAUCUGAAAGAACUCGAAGACUAACAUGAUCACCAGCUUCUAAUUCAUCACCCCUAAAGUUCCAACAAGUCGUCCAGUAUAAGGUAUUCUUAGUUUCAGGAAUUCCCAUGAAAUGUUUGGAGUAGGUCCACUUUGUACCUUUGGUCUCAUUCACAAUUUCAAGGCAUGGUAAAAAUCCAUAUGUUUUAUCAUUCUUGGCAGAAAAAAUGAUAAUUGAAUUUAAGAAGCAACUUAUCUUUCGACUAGAGUUUGGGGGCACUGAUAUUGAAACCUCAGUCUUGCCAGCUUGAUGGCCAUAGUAAUGACCAGUGUAAUCAAAUGGCAUUGGAUCAAGUGUUGUAAUUAUACCGUAAUCAUAUAAUACCUGUAGCAUUGGGUUAGAGAAUGAGUUAUUAAAAAGUAUAUAGUAUAUAAAUAGUUUUAAAAACUUGGAACUUGUAAAGGGAACCUGUGGGGAAGCAACCACUUUUGAUCCUUCUAUAUAACUGCAAAGUUGCACUUUAACAUCUCCAUAAGAUUCCAAACUGGGCAAGUGUUUAGUUAGGUCCAUCUUGAUAUUUCUUGCGGAAACUUCAUCUCCUAAAAUAUGUAAAAUAAUGUGUUAUUUAUCAAUUUUAGUGAUCAUCAACAUAAUAUGCUUAUUAGAAAGUAAUAGUAUUGACUUGAAUGAAGUGAUAAUUAAAGCUUUUAUCAGAUACCCAUUUGACACGAAUUCAAAUCGUGACCCAUCCCCUAUACUCAAUAUUAUAUAAAAAAAAAGAUAUGAAAGUAGUAAUGUUAUUAUCACUAAAAUGUAUUAUAAGACUUGUAAAAAAUAAUCAAUUAUACACAUUAUAUCUUUAUUUUUUAUUUUUAUAUAAAGUAUAAACUUUAAAACUAUUAAAUAUGUUAGUCAAAACACCAUUGUUAUAAUUUUAUCCAUUAUUUUAGUUUCCACUUCUAUUAGUACUAUUGGAUUAAUCAUUUAUCAAACAAUUAACUUAUUUUCAUUAGACGCCAAUCGCAGCAUAACUUUAUAAUUAUCACUUUAUUAUUAAGCUAAAUUUCUCUCAUAAUCUAUUAAAUUGUCAUAUUUCUUGAUAAUAUUUUAUUGUAUUAGAAAGUCUUUUAGAGAAACAUUCAUCAUUUCUUGAAAACUUGUUAUUCACAUAUAAAAUGAAACAAUAAAAUAAAUAUAAUAGGAUGUAUUUACUAAAAUAUAAUUAAUUAAAAAUUUUAAACCCUAAAUCUUAGUUAAAAAACCGUUCUAUCUCCCCCUUUUUUUAGUUUUCUUUUUUAGUUGACUAAGAAAGCUAUUAUCAACAAAAGAGGAUUCAAUGGAGGGUCCAGGUAUGUCUUCUUUACCGAUAAAAAUUCUGAUGAUAAUAGCUUUCUUAGUCAACUGAAAAAGAAAACUAGAAAAAGGGGAAGAUGAACGGUUUUUAAACUAAGAUUUAGGGUUUAAAAUUUUUAAUUAAUUAAAUUUAAUUAAUUAUAAAUCUAUUCUCAUCCCAUUAGGAAAUUCAAGUUGGCACUUAAAAUCUAGUUGGACUGCCACGUAGGAUUACCGUUAGGGAGAUAACGGAACUUAACGGAAGAGUGAUCACUUCGUAACAAAAUAAUAACAUAAGUGACUAAAAUGUAACCUGAGGUAAACAAAAGUGACUAUUUUUGUAGUUUACCCUUUACUAAAAUAAAAUUAUUUGAAGUCUACUCAUACCUGUAGAUAAGUGCGAAAAGCCAUAUUCAUAUCUAAUGUUGUGUUCUGAUUCAUAAGUAACGCCAAAUUUUCUUAUGCUGAGAUGAAUAGGCACUACCAUGCAACUCACAACGUCACCACCUUCAAACUGACAGUCCGUUACUGGCCAAUGAAUCAACCACAACAUUGUGUUAUCGUUAGUCUGAGGAAUUUCAAUGAAAGUUGAGCUAUAUCUCUGCAUGAUCAUUUUGGUCUCAUUGAAAAUGUGGACACUUGGAAGAAUCUCCAACAUUUGAUCACUAGCUAAAGAGAAAACAAUGCAUAAGCUGAACCGAUGGAUCUUUUCAUCAGGAUGAGAUGGUGUUGGCAAAGAAAAAGAGAUUCGGUGCUCGUUAGUGCGAUGCUUAAACACAAUCGGAACUUCACUUCCUAUAACAAAUGUGCUUGUUACACCAUAUUCCUGCAAGACCUGAUCCAAAAAGAACAAGUUAGAUGAUUUAGUAGCAUAAGAGAAAAAAUAGAUUUAAAAUUUAACUUGGAGAACUAUUGGACCUGUGGGGUAGCUAGCAUUAUGCUGUCUGUUAGGUAGCUAUAAAGUUGCAGUCGGUUUCUGUUAAUGGAAUCCACGUUGAAUAAUCUUCUAAUCUCUUCUGCUUCAAAGUUUUCAAUUGGUUCCAACUUGAAUAGAUCUUCAACCUCAGUCAAUUUUUCACAUCCAAAAAUAACACAUCGUGUGGAAGAAAAGAAGCAUGGAAGAAUUAUUCGGAAUGAAGACUUGUCUCCAAAAAUAAAGUUGCACUUAAAAACAUUGAGCAAGACCGGAAGCUUUGGAAUCAUUUGGAGUUCAGUGCAAGAAGUCAAUAGAAGUUCAUCAAGUUUUGUAAGGUUUUUUAAGCUUUCGGGUAGGNNNNNNNNNNNNNNNNNNNNNNNNNNNNNNNNNNNNNNNNNNNNNNNNNNNNNNNNNNNNNNNNNNNNNNNNNNNNNNNNNNNNNNNNNNNNNNNNNNNNNNNNNNNNNNNNNNNNNNNNNNNNNNNNNNNNNNNNNNNNNNNNNNNNNNNNNNNNNNNNNNNNNNNNNNNNNNNNNNNNNNNNNNNNNNNNNNNNNNNNNNNNNNNNNNNNNNNNNNNNNNNNNNNNNNNNNNNNNNNNNNNNNNNNNNNNNNNNNNNNNNNNNNNNNNNNNNNNNNNNNNNNNNNNNNNNNNUCUUCAAGUGAUAUUAAUGAACCUAUUGUCCUUGGAAGUUUCCUAAGACUUGUGCAAUCUUUAAGGUUCAAGAAAGUAAGUAUCUUUAGCUCACCAAUGGAUUGAUCAACUUCCACCAAAUUUAUGCAAUCUUUGAGCAUCAACUUCUCAAGGCUAGGGAGUCCUGAAAAGCUUGGGGUUUUAAGAAGGCUAUGUGAAUGGUUGAGAUUAAGGAU
rnacentral:lncRNA from 1 species